rnacentral:lncRNA from 1 species
CAACGAUCAGUGGCGGCCAGCGUAGACUCUACAGCAUUGUACAAAUGGAUCACGCCUUGAAGGUACAAGGUUGUUGCACCCGAGAUGUGUGCAUAACCAAACAACUCGCCUGAGUUGGCAUGGUGUAACAUCAUGAAAAUUAACUAUUUUCUAAUCAUGCAUCAUGUCGUUUCUUAUGUUCUUAAUAACUUGCUAAACCUAGGAAAAUAUAAUUAGCGGGACCUCCUAAAACUAACUUGCAUAACAUCCCUCUCUAGUAUUUAACUUUUUUGUGUUUUUCAUUUAAAGAUAUAUUUGGUUAAGCAAAAACGUGCAAUCUGGUGAUCAACGGCCACGAAACAGGUUUGGCCGAACUGGUGGUUCGACUGAACCUAAAAACCCUCUUCCUGACCUCUCCUUUGGCUGGUAGGUAGCUUAUUGGGCCCCCAACAUCAUGUACUUUGAUUUGUCUCCAUUCUAAGUGGUUUUGGUUGACAUAUGGGCCCUCCAAUCCGUGUAAACGCGUCCUGAAUGUGCAAAGGUGCAUUUUGUCGCAUGACGGAUGUGUUUUCUCCUCAAAAUACCUGCAUACACAUAUUUCACCAACACUAGUGAAAAUGAUUAGUAAUAAACCCUACCACUAAGUUGGAUGCCAUAUUUUAUUUCAUUAUAUGCAAGUAUUGAUGGUCAAAAACUAUGAUUUAAAGACCGUAAACAUUAAUUUCCAGUGAUUGCUGUGUAUCCCACAAAUAGUUAGAGGUAUGUGUAGAGGUGGUGACAGCCCUCAAGAACACUUAAGUCCUCAUUGUCGGGGUACGGAAUAGAGCAUGUUCUGGUAGUAGCGAGCAAGCAUGUGCAUGAAGUACCGCUAUAGGAUUAAAUUAAGCUUUCCGUAGAUACUAUUUCUCACUAGGAAAUCCUCUCUACUCGUUGUCUAUGUUUGCUUCGUGUCCUUGGAUGAACAUGGAGAAGAGCUGAGCACACUCUUUCCCUAUGGAAAAUCGAUACCUUGGAAUACUCCCAGGUGAAGUGCUACAUCUUUCUCUGUUCUUCUUCUUCCUCUCUUUCUCUGUUCAUCUUCUUCAUGUUCUCUCUUUCUCAUGCGUGUGCUGCAACAGCUAGAUAGCACGUACAGUGGCUAGCUGGAAGGACGGCCGGACGGGCGAGUCGAACUGAGGGGCGUGGUGCGGAGAGCGAUCGUCGGGCAAGACCAAGAGAAGCGUGGGAGGCGUGCGGGCCCAUGGCGGCAAGUCGCGCAUGCUGGAAUGGUCUCCAACGUGCACCGACGACAGCGGCGGGUGUGCUACUACUACGACCCAGGCCCACCUGCGUCGCCAUGGCGCAUAGCCUCGUCGGCUUCUAUGGCAUGCUCGGUGACAUGCGCCGCCUCCGCGACCUCAUCCCGGAGAGCUACGUCAACGAUGCCGCGCUUCGGCAGAAGGGGGAGGAUGACCACGGCAUCGGUUUACUCAGUGGCGAUGAUGAUUGCCCCGCCUUCGACCGCCUCUGGAAGUACUGCCGCGCCUACGCCGGUGGGUAGCUCGCUGCAGCUUGCGUGCUCGUCGACGGCGCCUCCGACAUCGCCAUCAACUGGUCCGGCAACAUGCACCAUGCAUCCGCGUGCAAGGCCAAUGGCUUCUGCUAAGUCAAUGACAUCGUGCUCCCUAUAAACGAGUUCCUCGGCAGCUUCAGGUGCGUCAUCUAUGUCGACAUUGACUGGCACCGCGACAACAGCUUCAGGCGCGCAGAAUGCCUUCGUGGACUCCUAGCAGCCAAGAAGUCGGUGGCCCCAUUGAUUUGAGGCACGCGCCGCUGUAUCCGUGCCGGCCCAGUCGCCAUUGCGCCACCGCCGAGCUCCCCAAGAGAUCGGUGCCACCGUGCAUUGCCGCGCCGUGCGCCAGGAUGCCGCUGUGCGUCGUCGCCGUUGGCAGUGAACCCCGGCGAUGUGCCACCGCCGCUGCCCCGCCAUGGCUGAGCCGUCCCGGCUCGGGCCGGCCGCGUUGGCUGCGCGCAUCGCGCCUCUGCUCGGCUCAGUAGCAAGCGAGAGGAAGAAGACGGGAAAAGAAAAGAAGAGAGAGCAAGGUCAUUUUGGUACUUACAUAACUCUUUCUCUCUCCAUUUUGAUUGGGAAUAAUAAAAUAAUGGGAGGAGUGUCCAGCAUCUAAUUACCACUUUUUUACGAUAUUCCAAGAAAAGAUUCAUGAUCUUCAGGUGUCUCACAGCAAAGGCCGCAAUUUUUUGGUGUCCUGUUGCAAAUUUUGCCAAAUGACAAACAAGGCACACAAUAAAUACAAGCUAAAAAGCUACUGAAACAGCAAAAAAAAAACCAAUUUUAGUGGAUUCUUGACAUUUUAAUGAAUUUACUACAAUUUGAAUGGGUUAAAAUGGAGCUUCGACUAUUUAGUUAUGAAUUUGACAAGAUGCUCUGUGUUAUUACUAAUAACGGAAAAACCUUAAUCAAUUGAUAGAGAUUAAAGCCCAAAAGUGUAACAUCCGGAAGUUUUAAUUAAUCAACUUAGGUGGAAAUCGGGGUAUGUCCUUAGUAAAAGUUGGAUGUUUUAAAGCUAUUUGGGUUCAAAAACCUCAUCUGGUUAAUUUGUGUAUAAAAAAGAUGGAUAGAAAUUGAAACCAUUUUCCCAAACUAUUGGUUUGAGUUAAUAUGAAACUUUAGUGAUCAUUAUAGUAGACUAAUGACCCUACAACCUUUUUGGUAGAUAAACGAAAACUAUUUUUUUAAAUGACUCGUCCAGCGUUCAGAGAGUGUUUUGGUGCUAAUAAAAUCUAGCAACACUUUUGAGGCGUAGCUCGGCUAAUUUGUGUUUUCCCUUCCACGAGGGGAACAUUGUUUCAAGAGACCAAGCUGACUCAAUACUAGAUAAUCCAUGAAGCUCUGGUGUUUGGAGUCUUCUACUUUUUAGCUUCUAAGCUUUGUCCAAGCCUCUUUGUAUAUAACCAAAUUAAAUGGUCAAGCGGUAGUUAAGAAACGUUGUAGUAUAGUCGUUAAUCUUUCGCUCUUUGGAUAAUCUACCCGAUCAUGCUUAGCAACUGGCUAGUAGAAUUAAUAACUAGUGAGUGAUUGUGUGCUUGUGUACUUGUUUGUUUGUAGUGAAGUCUAAUUUAUUGGCUUGACUGAUGUUUAUGCCGUUCAUAAUUGGUUGGUUGAUGCAUGUUAAAUAAACCUAGAGACUAUUUAACAAAUCUAAGCAACACACAUCCAUGAAGAUCCUCUUGUCACUUAGCCAACCUAAGAUAACCACUAUGAAGGUUUCGUGAUUUUAUCAAACUUUUUACUACCUCAAGUAAAGCAGUUAAGGUAGUCAAACUAAAUUUAUUAGAAACCUAAUUGGUAAAAUGAAGAAACAUCUAAAUGUGCCUAAAGUUGAACUGAAGGAUAUAUGUUUCAUAAUUUAUUCAAAUACUAGAGUACUUAUCAAGAGUUAAUAUAUUUUUUCAAGAAUUUUUACCCUUAGUUUUGACCUCAAAAUUCAAUUUAGUUCUCAACAUACCCCUUUUCAUCUUUUUGUCAGAAUUAAAAUAUUUCAAAUUUUUGAGUGAAAUUUUGAGAAAUGGAAUCUGGGUAGCAUAGGUUAUUACCAAAAAAAUCAUCAAAAUUUUUAGCAUCAUUCUAACUUUCAAUUUGAACUUCAAAGAAAGAGACAGAAAAAUCUAAAAUCCUGUAAACUGAAUAAAACAUCGGUUUACUUUGUUCCUAACCAUCCUCCUCACCCUUACCUAGUCUACCACGACCUGGACCCACAUGGCAGUGCCUUUGGCUUGCCCACACUUGUGUUCCACCAUUUAAUCGCGUGGGACCCACCUUGAACAUAGAGAGAAAUACCGACACGUUCCAACAUCGUGGCAGCUUCUCCUUCUUCACCCCCUUGCUCUCUAGCUUCCCCACCCAUCCCUCCUCACUCUGUAGUCCACCCUAAAUCCAAGAAACCAGAGUGGGAGAGCUCCUUCUUGCUCUCCUCGCCAUCAUCUUCUUGCCGGCCGCCGGGAUGAUGCCAUCUCCGCCGCCCAACGGGUCAUCGUCGUUGCCAUCUUUCUUCCGUUCCCGAUUCACCCUUGCAUGCCGUAGCCUCUGCUCUGUCUGAUCUCACCUCGUUUCUUGGAGCCGAUCUCUGGGAACGCCGACCUCGCCACGGUAGCUCUGGAGCGCGGCCACACCGUCGUCAACGCGCAGCUGUGGGUUCGCGCCGCUGUUCCCGUCGCCUCGAGGCGAAUCCGGUUGAGCUACUGCGCCACCAGCUUCGCCUCACCAUUCUCUCCAAAACGCCCCAAGAAUCUCUCAGAACCGUGCAGCGAGGAGGGAGAUCAACCACCGUCUUCUCCAACUCCGAUCUAGUGCCUCCGUCGUCGAUUCCCGUUCAACCGGUGAGCCAUUUGUCGAUUUAUUGCAGUAGUAGCAACCUUAGGUGGUGUUCUACAUCCUGCAUGUGAUGUUCUUGACAUGCAUGCAAUAGAUCGAGCCGUCCACCUUGACGCAUCGACGCAUGCAUGGCGUCCCGAGCGCUUCCAAUUGCAGCUGCUGCCUGCGUCGGUGCAGUCACCAUUGGCUGGGGAAAAGUUGAGGAAUGGAAUCGCAAUGUUUUGCUCUACAUUUUAUCUUUUGACCUCGCCCCCAUUAGAGCCGCCGUUUGCCGCCGGCGAGCUUGAGAUCGAGCUUGAGAUCGAGCUCAGCCAUGGCUGUCGCUGCUUCCUGCUCUUGUGGAGAAAAGCUGGACCUGGUUGAAAGUUUUAGAAAUCCCAGGGUUCGACAUGCAAAAGUACAGUCCAAAAGAAUAAUCGAAAACAUAUAUGAGAACUAGGAAAACUUCAAAAAUCCAUAACUAAUUCAUCUUUACUCAUUUACGAGUGAACCAAAUUUCUAUGUGUUCAUAAAUUUGUAGUCUUUAUGUUUGUAAAUUAAAACAUUACAACUGCGGUACUGAAAAAGUCACUAAAAUUGUGAGUUUCAUAAAAUACACUUAUUUUUGCACAUAGGAGUUGUAUAAUCUCUAGGAACUUUAUGCUAUAUCCUAAAAUUAUGAAACCACUUUUGGUUACCUUAUAAAUAUGUAAUCUUUUAUCUGAAAAGAAAUAAUUUGACAAAACUACCUCCUAAAGUAAAACGAUUAAGUAAUCCUCUUUUUAUUAAAGUUGUAAAAUUUAUAACUAAAUAUUUUAACUCCAAAUGUGGUGAACCAAAUUUUGUUACAACCAGUGAGUUAUGCUCCAUUACUUGAAAAUGGUAGCUUGUUAAAACUAGCUAGAAAAUGUCAGUUUUUAUAUGACAUAGGGUAGUUCUUACGUAAUUACAGAUAUGCCAUAUUCAGUGUAUAUGGCUUGUUAUUUUUAUAUCUCUCAAACCACAAAUGUAAAUGAGAUGAUUCUUGUUUCUAAAACCAGUUUAUCAUACUCUCUACCUACUGUAAUUAGGCCAUGAUUUAUAGAGCAUGUUGCAUAUGCAUGUUUAUUUGAAUCAUAUUUGCAUAUUUGCCUCUUAUCGGUAGAUUCGGAGAAUUCGGAGUACGUGCAGCAAAGACUCCGAGGUUGAGUGUGAGUUCACACAGCAGCAAGGCAAGCGUCUAUGCAUAUUGAACCUAUGAUUUCACAAAACUUAUUUGCUUGCAAAAACUAUAUAUAUGCAUGAGUUGAAUUGCCUUAAAAUGUCGGUAACGGGUAGAGUUGUUUAUAUCCAACUAGGUGAUACCCCGCGCUUUGCGGCGGGAAUUACUGAGUAAUCUUUCACAUGUUUUUUUAAACAGUCAAGCUAUUGACAACAAUUAUAAUAGUUUGCCAAACCUGGUUAUAGUAGAGAGAUAAAAUUAAUAUACCAUGUAGAAAAUUAUCAACAGAAUGUUAGAUUGCUGCCUAAUAUUUAUAUUGCAAGGAGAAGUUAGGAAGAAAAUAGAUGAAAGGGCAGGGUUUAUUUGUACUAAUCUUGGAACAAAAUUCUCCGUAUCACAUGAUUCCUAGUAAUUGAAAACAUAUAUCCAAGAAAAAGAUAAUUACAUAAAUUAUAUAUUUGUUGAAAUAAUUAGAUCAUUGCAGGUACUAUGUCCUUAAGUAUAUUCCUGUAUGUGUCAUAAACUGGAAGACAACUUGUAUAUAGAUUUGGUCCAAUCAACUGAGAUAAUUAAUUCGAUAUCGAUAUUGAAGUAUUUAUAAACAAAUUAAUACGAUGACCUAGUAUAGAUUUGAUGGUUCGAUUUGGACAGGAAAUUUGUAGGAACAAUACUACACUUUCAAGUUUCUUCUUCUCCCCUACUCUAUCAAUAUAUAAGGCAAUCUUCUUGCCUUUCCUUAAAAAAAAAGUUUCUUCUUCAUGCUGACAUUUUGGAAUGUCAAAGCUUAGUGAUUAAGUAAACUAAAUACUUGGCACAUUCAAGAAUGUAUCACAUGUUAACCAAGAGCAUUCUGCGUGAGAGCUUAAUACUAAAAUCUAUAAAAAAAUAAACAGGGAUGAGAGAAGAAAUGUGGGAGCACCUAUGGAUCGGGCGACCGAUCUGGGGCUGGGAAAUUGGGCGCUGACCAAAUUACUUUAAACCGAUUUUUCUCUUAAAUUACUUAUCCAAAUCAUGAUCCGAUUGCACUAUUAAAUUCGUUGCAAUUAAAUCUUCAAAACAAAACCACACAUGGAUAUAUUCCGACGAAAAAAAUAGCUUAUUAUUGAUUUUUUUAAAUGUUGCAUGAUGUUUCAUCAGGUAUAUCGGAAUUGUCUCACUAAGUAAAUCGAAAAUGUUUCACUCGCUUAAAUCGGGUGUUGUUACACCUUAUAUAAAAACAAUGUUUCAGCAAAUAGCGAAAGAAUGUUUCAGUUCACUGCAACAUUAGAUUUAUAAAUAGUGAAACAUUGUAAUUACACUAAGUGAAACAUUUUUCGGUGGAACAAAAAAUAAACCAAAUUCCCUUAAUAGGGGGUUUCUAAAAUAUGUGGGUUUUUUGUUGCAAUGGAAUAUUUCGUUCACUGCAACAUUAGAUCUAUACAUAGCGAAACAUUGUGACUACACUAGGUGAAACAUUUUUUAUGGAAAAAAAUAAACCAAAUUUCCUUAAUAGAGAGUUUCUAAAAUAUGUAGGUUUUUUUUGUUGCAAAAGAGUAUUUUAAUUCACUGCUAGCUAUAUUAGAUCUAUAUAUAGUGAAGCAUUAUAAGUACACUAGUUGAAACAUCUUUUUGUGGAAAAAGGGAGAAAGAAGUGGGUGGGCCAACAGGUAGCACGUGGGCCAGGGGCGCGCGCGGGGCGAGCGCCCGAUCCGUCUCCCUCCGUGCCGAUCGACUGGCGACAAGCAUUAUCGAAGAAAUGAUGGAAACAUGGCAUGAUACAAACUAAUAAAAAUAGGAAAAGAUACAUACCGUAUAGGAAAAAUCCUUGUGUCCAACUCGAUCCAAUAAUUUUCUAUGCAGAUCUUAUAGUGAAUAAUUAAAUAAUUGUUCUACCUUUGUCCAAGAUUGUAUAUAUAUCCAAUGACGUCCUAGGGUCCUGUAGCAACUCGUUUCAAGGCCAAAGCUGCCUAUAACUGCUAACAGAUAAAUCCAUGUGCCUGUGGAUAAGUGAAUACAAAAUUUAACUUGGUAUUUCCUUGUGAUUCAUCAUGCAAGCCCCAACAACAGAGACCUAAAAUCAGGGGAAGUGAAUGUAGGUAUUUUAUCAGAAACUUUCCGAACAACAAAAACUGGCAUACAACUGAUGCAAGUGCAUUUGGGCAUUUUAUCAAACACAUAGUGCACAUAUAAUUGGUUAGUGUGCGUACCUGUGCUAAACGGCAGAAGCUUGUGUGGAUCCAAGCGAUACAGGAAGAGGGAAAGGGAUCCUCUGACUUAACUGCUGUGCAGUUGAGUCACUGAUAUGUGGGCCAUAGCAAAGUGGGACCCACAGAGGAUCUGCUUCCAGGAAGAAGAGUUUGUCCAGCAACGCGUAGUUGAUCUAUGGGGGAGGUGAAGGCAAUUGAUUCAGAGCUCUCGAGGUAUAUUGCUUGAUAUAGGAGCAUUUGAAAGCGGUUAUGAAGAGGAUUCUUAUUGCUGAUUUACUUUGAGUCAGAAGGGGAGGAGUCCUGGCGAUGCGGCAGCUCGAGCUGCGCAUGGUAGCAACUCCCUCGCAACCCCUGUCAAUGCCUCGCUUCCUCUUGCGGCGCUGUGUAGCAUGUGGGAUGGACGGGGCUAUGUUUUUAUUCUUUUCUCGGAGAAGCGGAGGGGCUUGGUCAACGAGUAGCCUAGGCUGGCCCAAUAUUACCGAAACAUUCAUCUGGGAAAUCUGCAGGACGAUCCAACGGCUCAGGAAGUGACGUGGCUCAAUAUGGUGCAAGCUUUAUAGUAAUAACUGUAUAGGACUAUAUAGGAAGAAGGGAUUUCAUGCAUUUCCCUUCCUUUAAUAUAUUGUUGCCCUGUAACCUUGUCACCUUCAAUUGUAAAUGGUUAGGAUGGUUUAUUCUAUCAUCGAAUGCUUAGCCGUGCUUAGGUCUACUUUUGAUUCACCACCCGUGAUUUAUGGGUAUUAAAAUCUGAUUACCUCACUCAAUGAUUAAUAUGGAAACAUGCUUUAACUUGGACGGGUGAUAGGGCGAUGACGGGACGGUGAUUUUCCCUGAUGCAAGUAGCCUCGUCUGGGUUGUUAAGGACCGAACAUGUUGACGUAUAUUCAAGCACCAUACGUACUUCCACACGCCUUAUUUGGGGCCGGCUUGUCUGUUUUCAAGUUUAUAGGAUGCAAUUGGAAAGCAAAUAUGCAAUUGGAAAGGGAAAUAUGCAAUGUGAUACAAGUUACCUCAGUGGGGAGAGAGAUGUCUCCCCCCAAGCUUGGCUUUCGCUCAGGGUCCUUGGUAAGGAUUGAAUCCCUGAAAGCGGAAAUAUGCUUGAAGGUCAUCGUGUUGUUGCUGCAUCAUGUUGUUGAUGUUGGCAAAUUGAGCAUUAGUAGUCUGUUGUCAUUCUUGUGUCUGAGCUAUGUGUUCCGUGAGGUUGUAUUGGAUCUCCCCCGUCUGCACAUCAAGGGUGUCCAUUCUCCUAGUGAUUUCACCCAAGUCCCAACGAGAGGAACUCGAGCGCCAUUCACUUGGACAUGGAGGUACUCCACUUGAUCUGGGAGGUUGGUUGUCCCCCCACUAUAUGUCAUGAGGCGCAUGCCACCGGUCCUCACUGGCACUUGCCCAGCUUGAGACACCGAUGUUGUGGCGUGGAGCUUGGGUCCAUCCGAGUGCAUCCCCAGUUGGUUCCCAACCUGCCUCAUAUAAUCUGCACGGGUGUUGAGGAUGAUGAACUUUCUCGUUCGUUCCUUGCCAUGUUGUGUGUGUCCCUGUAUACUCCACCUGCAUGAGAUUCUUCUAUGGUCUGCAGGGGAAUGGUUAGCUCACGGCAGUUGUACAAAUGAUACCCCGCAUUUGGUAACGGGAUUUCAUUUUGUCACGACCGGAAUUAACCCAGCGGGCAUUCCAUACGUGUGUGUAUUACUCCUUGUCCCAGGAGGCAAGGUACACCAAAAGUUGAUACAAUUCAGAGUUUAACAAGCGGAAGCGUAAAUAGUUAAUUUAUUACAUGAGCGAUGAAGGCCCAGCACACACGAAGAUAAACGAGAAACAGCGGAAGACUAGGGCGACGACCACAGGCACUUGACGGCAGGCACGAGCUAGACACCAAAGCCUUCAUCCUCCAGGAACUCCUCUUCUGGGCUGGGGAAAAAUUAAGCAAGAUUGAGUACAACCACCUACUCAGCAAGACACACCCACGAAUGCAGAAUAAAUGCAAAGGAGUACAAGGGAGUUAUAAUAAAGGGGUUAGGGUUUGCAGUAAACAGCAUUUAAAAGUCACUUAGUUGCCCAAAGCUAUUUUGUAAAGACGAUUCUAGAGCUACACAAUGUUAUAAUCAAGGCCGUGUACCCACACGAACCUGCCUUAACCCAAGGCCUUCGAUGAUUCAGACCGAACUGACAACCCGACCUGGGUCCUAGCUCGUCCCAAGCCAACCCAGACCAACCAUACCACAUUUUAGUUGUUAAGCAUGUUUUAAGAAUUAAACCACUAACUUGGGUACAUUGCUAGGCUUGCCCAUAACCGAGGGCGCGGCUAUUCGAAUAGAUUAUACUUUGAUCAGAGGUGUACAUCUUUACCCACAAGACACAUCUUUCUCAUGUGUAACCAUGUGCCACAUACCACCACGGCAUACCGACGAAAGACGUGACAUAGUUCUCAAUCCAUCCUAGCCAUAAACAAGAGUACCGACCCAACCCUGGCUACGGCCAGGAUUCCCGAGACAGGUAACCAAGGUUGAGCCCCUAGCAGCAGGACACCGGCCAUGUGCCAUGACAUCUCGACUACCGGGCCGCAGCUCGUGUAGCCUUAAUUUGCCCUAGAGAUGUCCAUCGAGCCCCGACUUCGUCCAUCCCUAUCCGUGUAUUUUUGCCCAUGACCAGACUGAGCCACGAACUAAGCCUUACCCACUAGACAUGUGGAAGUACGGUAGUGCUUUGCAACAGAGGCCCGAAGACCGGUCCUUAUAGUGGCCGAGAUGCUACUAUCAAAACCAUGCACCUCGAGCCCAGCCUAAAACCAUUUUAGGGGUAUUGAAUAGAGGGGGAGGUGUGUGUCCAAUUCCAACAUAAGCCAACCAUUCCAUAAUGUCCAAAUGAUAUGAGAAUUCCUAAAGUCUAAAGUUAUAAAAUCACCUAAUGUUGUCUAAUUAAUCAGCGAGGCAUCUACCUAAAUUCAUGCUCGUGGAACCAUGAAUAGGGUACCCACUAGUUGGGGGUUUUGUUUAUCCUAGGGUAAACAAGGUAAUAAAUAACAAUAGCAAUAACAAUAAGGUCAUAACAAAGGUAAAUAGGCAUGGCUAAAUAAAACAGUGAUAACACGGGAAUUUAAAUAAAACGAUAUUGCAAUAAUUUAAACCAAAAUAGUUUUAUAAACUGGGAUUCAAUAUGCUCAAGGAUGAUGUGACUUGCCUUGCUCGCUUUCCCAAACGUUGGCUUCAACCUCCACGUAGAGCGGAUCUUCUGAAGCUGCAGCGUCUACACGGCCAAUAGAAAGAAAAAGGCUUUUACUCUAAUAAACUCCAUAUAACAAGCAGAAACAAAGCACAAAAAUAGGUUCUUGACUUCUUAAGGAAAAAUUAGAGACUUGAACGGUCCAAUUCUGAGUUCAAAAGGCCAAGAUAUGGCCAUUUGAAGUUUAUAUGCUCUUAAUGUGAAUAUUUGCAAAUUUCUUCAUUUAAAUUUUAAUUAAAAAAUAGGGUUUAUUGUGUCAGUUGAGGGGAGGGAGCGCGCGGGCCGGGUCCAUGGGAGUGGUGGGCCCCACGCGGCAGCCCCUCGGUCCACGGUGGACCGGGUGCACCCGCGGCUCACCAGCCGGCGCCGGGGGCCCCACACGUCAGCCGCACCCGAGGGCACGGGGGGCUGACGGCCAGGCCCCACGCGGUGGCCACACGGUGCGCCCAGAGGCGGCUACAUCGGCGCGGCCGGCGGGAGGAGGCGCCCGCGCCCCUAUGGCCGCCGGCGGCGGCCAUAGGCGCGGCGGAGCGGCGGCCAAGAGAGGGGAAGGGAAAGGGGAAAGAGGCGGCGGUCCACGGCUCACCCCGGAGCGACGACAGCGACGAGGAGGCGGCCGAAGUGGAGGGAGGCGGUGGUGCGGCUCGAGUCGACGGGGUCGGCGGCGUUCCGGCGGUCGGCGACCGAAACGGAGGGGUGGACGAGGUCGGCGACGGUGCGGCGAAGCCGGAGGAGACGACGCCGAGGUGGGGGACGGUCCCGGCGAGCAGCUAGGCCCAGCCAGAGGUCGAUGGCAACGGCGGAGAGAGAGGACGACGGCGCGAGCUCGAUUCCGACGGGGAAAAAGGGCGGCGAGUGGCGGAAACGGACGAGGGAAGUGCGGGGAGGGUUUAUAUAGGGUUGGGAGUGAGAGAGUGCGGCCGGCGGGUGUCACGCCCGGAAAUUCACUAGUAAUUUCCGAACUUAUUUGUGCAUAAAACCCUCGUCUAGGAAUCAGCCGAGGUACACAAACUGACAAUUCAAUAUACAAAUCCAUGAUAAUAAUAACGUUACAUACUCACAAAAGAAAAGAAAACAGCAGCGGAAUAACGGUCUAGCGAUGGCUUCAGCUCCACUCUCACAGGCAGCUCAACUGGGGUAUAAGCCAAACGUCUUCUCCUUCUGGAUCCUUUUUCUUCAACUGAGGUUGAUUGAUUAUUGCAAGAAUGAGCAUAUGACAUACUCAACAAGCCACACAGCAAAUAUGCAAGUGCACAAGGAUACCAAAGGAUGGCAUAAUAUAGGCUCAUUUGCAAAAGCAGCAUUUAGCAAACAUUUAAGAGAAGUAAAACAGUAGAGUAAUUAAUCAUCAAUUUUAAUCAACACUGAACAGCACCCCAAUGCUGCACAAACUCCAAACCAGGAGCUAAACAAAUUAUUACCAGUUAUUGCAUCAAUAACUAUUUGUGAGAGGUGUGAGACUAAUCACGAAAAAUAUUGCUCAACCAGCCCAUAACCGCGGGCACGGCUAUUCGAAUAGUUUUACUCUGGCCAGAGGUGUACCACUGUACCCACAAGACACGAUUCCACACAUGUUGCCAUGCCCCGAAGUACCACCACGGCACUGCAAAGGGGGAAAUCGUGACAAUACCCUUCGCACAACACAACUCACCAUAGUGCACCAUUCCUGGAUUAUAAUCACCCCCUCAAAAACCAAAGGCAUGGACUCCCCAGCGACCCCCACGGACUUCUCGCCGCUUCUCAGUCUGGCACCCCGUAAUGAACCAUGCUAUACAAAAGAUAAAGCCGUUGCCCACGCUGGCUUGUGGUUGGUACGGUUAAUGUUUCACAACAGUAGCUCGCGAACCGAUCCUUAAUUGUCAUGAGCACGAACUUCAAAACCAUGUGCUCACAACCCACCAUUGACAAGUUUUAAUUAUCAAUUAAUUAUCAUAACACGAUUAACCAUCGUAAGCUACAUUUAAAUCUAACCAUAAGUAAUAAUGUAAUAUGAUUCACCCCAUUAAUGAGCUAAUGUUUCUAAGCAUGGCUAAGCAAUUAUAUCUAUAUAGCAUUUAGCUGAACCAAACCAAUAUAUAAGGUUCUAGCUAAUCGAAUUCUAACCCAUAGGAAAAUAAAGUCAUCUUCGGCCAAUAAUUAAUUGGGAAAGGCUCACCACCCGAUGACAUUCGAAAAUAAUGCAUAAGUUGAAAUAAAACAUUAGCUUUAAAUGGGUUCAACAUGCUCAAAGGGUCGUUUGGGAUCUGUGUGACUUGCCUUGAGCUUCAUCAAGCGCUUCUGAACCUUCCUCAACGAAAACGCUCUCCUUCAGAACGUCGGAAACUAAAGCGAAAGAACAAAAUCAACAAAACAGUACAAAAACAAGCAUAAACAAUACAUGUGGAUAUUUUUAACAUGUAGAUCUCGAUUUUAGAAAAAUUUAGCAACUUGAACCACUCAAAUCGGAGUUACGAUGAAUUAGUUAUGAAUUUCUGAAGUUUUAAUCUAUUUGCAUCUAGAAAAAAAACUGGAAAAAGAAAAUAUGACGUCAUGCUGACGUCAUCAUCGCGCAAUUUCACGGGCAACGACCUUGCCGGCGAUAGAGAGGUCGGCAGGGCUAUCUAAAGUCAUCUACACGUAGAGGACGAUGACGCGAACUCACCGGUACUAGCAAACGCGAUGGACGACGACGAAUGGUGGCCGGCGGCGAGCUCUAGCGGCGACACGGCUCGGGUCGUCGGCGGCGGCGGCUCUCCGGUGACCGGCAACGGCGGCGAGGGGGCAGCCGAGGUUCCCCGCCUCCGUGCGCACCUAACGGCGACGACGGGAAGCGGCGGCGACUGCUAACGCGAUGGCGUGGCGCGGCUGAACGUCGGCCGGCGGCGGCGGCGGCUUGGACGGCGUGGCGGCGGCGCUACGGGGGACGAGAAGGCUCGGGAGUUGGUGCAAACGAAAGAGGACGCCAAGGGGAUGCUAUUUAUAGGCUUGGAUUAGAGAGAUCGGACUCCAAACGAGAGGAUUUGAGCCGGAAAAUCCGAGGGUUAGUUGGAGAGAUAAACUCGAAAACGAAUUCGAUUCCACGUUGAUUUCUUCGGGAUAAAGUGCGACGACGGGAAGCGGCGGCGACUGCGAACGCGACGGCGCGGCGCGGCUGGACGUCGGCCAGCGGCGGCGGUGGCUUGGACGGCGUGGCGGCGGCGCUACGGGGGACGAGAAGGCUCGGGAGUUGGUGCAAACGAAAGAGGACGCCAAGGGGAUGCUAUUUAUAGGCUUGGAUUAGAGAGAUCGGACUCCAAACGAGAGGAUUUGAGCCGAAAAAUCCGAGGGUUAGUUGGAGAGAUAAACUCGAAAACGAAUUCGAUUCCGCGUUGAUUUCUUCGGGAUAAAGUGCGAUUCUUGGGGGGAAGGAUAGAGGAGGAUAAGAGGAAUAUUUCCCCUCAACUAAUUUUGCAAACGGAGCACGGGAUGCGGCGGAUUUGGUGGAGGAAGCGGCGGCUGCACAGGUACAGGACGGCAGCUCGGGCUUCUGUCCAAGCUUGAAGAUGAGCAGUACAGGGGACGCAAAUUAGACUUUCGGCUGGGCUUCUACUUCCAAGGACUGAUUAAAGGAGGGACAAAAAGCAGACGUCGGGAAAGAGAGCGAAAGGACUGCAGGCUGAGAGGAGACUGGGCCGAGAGUGAGAGGACUUUUCCUAAUUCGGCCCGAAAAGGAAAAGGUGAAUUUUAAUUACUUUUCCAAUUAAAUUAAUCACUGAAAUGAUCUUUGAAUUGUUAAAAAUACUUCUAUUGCUCAAAUAAUUUCAAGAAAAAUCUUGAAAAUACUUGGACCCUCAAAGUAUUUAACAAAAUUAUAAUCAGACCAUUUAAUGAUUAAUUUAAUAUGUGGAUAAUUACUGAAAUGUUCUUUGUAUGAUUAAAAUUAAGAAUUCAGCUCCGAAAAAUCCGAGAAAAUUCCAGAGAGUAUAAUUAACCAUGGAGGAUUUAAUAAAAAUUAAAUCCAUCCAUGCUUUAUAUUUAGGAAAUUUUAUUUCCCACAUUUAACUUCACUUGUAAAUUAAUGAACAUUUAAUAUAAAUUCUAAUAAUAAUUUAUUAAAUAAUUUAUAAAUCCUGAAACGAAAAUCAGGACGUGACAGCGGGGGAGGAAACCGGCGCGGGAGACCCGGCCGCCAUUAAUGGCGCCGGCGGGAUUAGUGGGGGGCUUCCAUCCGAAAUAAAGAGAGAGAGAGGGGAAAAUGGGGGGAAAGGGAGAGGGAAUCAGGGGAAAUAUUUCCCCCAUUCAAUUUUGAACGGGAUCGGCGGAGCACGGCGGAGCACAGCGGAGCGCGGUGGAUUUGGCGGCGGCGGGGGCGCUAGGCGCGAGCGGAGGGAGCGGCGCAUGCGGCGGGAGGAAGGGGAUGAUUGGUGGGCCCCACCCGUCAGCGAGGGUGGCGGGCGGGCCCGUCCGUCAGCGGCUGCACGUGCAGGGAGAAGCCGAGUGGUCCACGGGGAAGAAGAGAGAGGAGGAGAUGGGCCGGAUUCGGCCCAAGAGAGGGAAGGAGGAUUUUUAGAGGUUUUCUUUUUAUAAAACCUUUUCAACUUUGUUUAUUUCUUGAUAAUUAUUAUUUGUGCUCUGAAAAUUCCACUAAAAUUUAUUUACACAUUUUAGGCUUUUAGGAAAUAUACAAAAAUCCUCCAAGCCUUUUUUGACUUUUAACUUUGCACAUUUUAAUUUUUGGAGGCUUUUCACUAGGAUUUUAAUUAUUCUAGGCAUAAUUUAAAGGAUGUAUUUUAGGGUCGUUUUGGGGCGUGACACAUUUGUACAACCGGGGUAAAAGUAUAUCAAAGAUCCGUCUACUCCAUGUUUAAGAAUAUGCCCAUGCACUAGAUAGUUCUCAUCAAUACAGGGACGAGCUGCUGAGAUGAAAGCGAUUUGGUCACUAACGACCCCUAGCACUUUCGCUAUCCUAGUAAUCAGAGAAAUGCACUCAAUAGGAGCAGAAAAUCUUAUACUUUCUAACCAUUCCCUUAUCAUACAUUUCACAGGAGCAAUUUUGAUUUUUCUAACCAUAGCAAACAUGAUAAUUAAUUCAUCCCCCCUAAUGGGUCUAAGAUCACCUCUAGGAAACAAACUCAGAGCAAUCCACUUGUGCAUGAGCCUAACUAUAGGAUUAUGGAUAUCAUUUGUCCUAGGUUUCUUGCAAAUUGGAGCACCAGAAAUACCUUCCCAAAACCUAUUUUUCUCGAACCCAGAAAUUCCUUUCUAGAGAUCGAUUUUACAAGAAUCGUGAAAGCCAAAAAGUGUACUCAAUCCUUUCCAUGUAAGUGUAUACUCUUUAUGGAAAAAGCGAAAAGAAAUUCCAUCUUCUAUUUCUUUCAAAGUGCACAGAAAUUGCAAAGUAACCAAACGAGAACCAGGCUCAUCUACCACAAGAAAUCUCUGCCAACCAACAGCUUUCCAAAUAGCACGAAAAUCAACAUCCAUUCCUAUCUUUUUCAGCAGCUCCGGAGAGUAUUCUCGCGUGUGAGCAUGCUCCCGGUCGCUUAGCAUGUAGUAGGCUUGUCUUUCCUGAUUGUCGACAAGGUCAAGGUCGGCGUCGUUCAGGAGACAUCGCGGAGCUUCGGCAUCUUCCAUCGUGACAUCAGCUGAUGAACAAGCGCUAGACUCAUCAUGAUUGACUUGACGAAGAGCCGGACCACUUGAAUAGACGAGGCAGCCGCCUCCUCAUUCUGCACAAUGGAGCAAGAAUGGUCUAACUCGGCGGGGGUUAGAAUAGCAAGAGUGUCACACGCCGGUUAGUUUCACCAAAGCAACAUGUAUAUAUGCAGCUAAGUAUUUGAAUUUGAGGGAAACAAUCAAAGCUUGAAUGAACUUGAGAGAAAACUUUGGAGAGGGAAUGAAAAUGUGCUGAAAUGGGGUGGAUUCCCCUCUCCCGGCCGGUUGGCUUAAGUAGUGCACCCACAACGGUCAAAACUGACAUGUGGGGCCCACUAGCCAUUGCCUCAAAAAAGGGAGGCAGCCGAUCGAACCCCUGGUGGGCCCAACCGGCCCCACUUUCGGCCGUUGGGUUCCAACGGUCAGUGUGGUCGUGGCACAGUGAAUUUUCGUUGAAAAUUUUAUUUUGGUUUGUUUUUAAAAAUUCAUUUGAAGAAUUUCCUCAAAAUUCUGAAAAUCCUAAAUGCAAUUAUGAAAUUCAAACAUGUGAUGAUGCAAAAAUUUAAAUUAUUGAAAACAAAUAUGCGGAUACAUACCAAUUUAUGUGUUGGUGAAGGUCGCAUCAUUUUAAGUCCGACGUGCAAGACCGUACCACGUGCAAGACCGUAUCUCCUUUCAGUUCAGUGCACUGAUUUUCCACCUGUCUCCGGAGGUAAUGGAGUAGGCGUCUUUGACUUUUCUUUCCACACCUUCUUUGGUUUUGGUGUGGAAGACGGCUUCGACUGCUCUAGCUUCUUGGCCAGUGUACUUAAUUUUACCAGUAUCUUCCAAUAACGGUUCGUGGGCAUCGUUGUUUCCUUUUCCAGGAAAUUCUGCAUGAACUUUACCAGGCUAUCCAUCUUGGGUGGCUCCACUUCGACCACUUGAAUAUUCUGCGGAUUUGGCCCGUACUUUAUUCUGACCAUGGAGCAUUGUUCAGUCCUUGGCUGAAACUGAAACUUUUCCUUCUUCCCGUUGAUAUGGAAACGGAUACUUCUCGUUUCCACGUCAAUGUUGGCUCCUGCGGUGCUAAGGAACGGACGCCCCAGGAUGAGCGGCGUCUCUUUUCCAUUGUCCAUAUCCAGCACCACGAAGUCAACCGGGAUGAAGAAAUCCCAUAUCUUGACUAGCAUAUCCUCCGCAAUCCCCGUCGGGUAACGGACUAACGAGUCAGCCAGUUGUAGGCGCAUCGGUGUUGGUGCCAACACCGUGAAGUUGAGCUUGUCAAAGACGUUCUUUGGCAUGACGCUGACACUAGCUCCGAGAUCACACAGGACUUGGUCAAACUGCUGUGCCCCGAUCGAGCAGGUGAUCGUAGGACACCCCGGAUCCUUCUUCUUUUCUAGGAGCUUGUGGAGUAUGACGUUGCUGCACUGCUCCGUCAGCUUAACCACCUACAUUGUUGGAUGCGGUCUCUUGUUGUUGAGGAUAUCCUUAAGAUAACGGGCAUAUGUUAGCACUUGCAUAGCAUCCAACGGCACGUUGAUGUGAAUCUUCUGGAUUACUUCAACAAAGCGAGCGAACUGCUCGUCCACUGACGGUUUCCUACUCCGUUGAUGAAACGGCAGCAAUCGUGUGUCGCAGUAUUCCUGCGGCACGGCCUUUUCUGGCUGAACCUCUUUGUCAGCCGAGUUACUCGAUGGCGCUUCUCUGGCAACCCGAUUAGUUCCUGCAGGGUUAGGAUAUGGCGGAUCACGAGUGGACUUACCUCCUCUCGUCGUGAUCGCCAUGACAUUUUCAAUGGAGGAGUCGGUCUGCUCCGGAAUCCUCCCAGUUUCAGUUGCAGGGACUAAAGAAGCCAAUUAAGCUAGCUGGGUUUUUAUCAUUUUAAUGAAGCUCAGCUGGUUUUGAAAAGUAGAAGCGAAGCCAUCUAGCUUAACAUUGAUGUUCUCUAGGAUCUUGUCAUUGGCAGCUAGCUUUUUGCUUAAAGCAUCAGUGGUUUUAGCUUGCGCAAAAAUGAGAUCCUUUAAGGAGGGUUGGUUAGAGAAGUUACCGUUGUUGUUUCCUCCUUAAUAGUAUGGGUGUGUCUAGUUCCACCCUUAACCUCCUCGUGGACGAUUCCCGUUGUUGUUGUUGCCCAUGUACAUCGCAUCCUCACGAGUUUCUAGGCAGUCGUUCCCAGAGUGACCCGUGCCGCCACAGACCUCACACGUGACGUGUGAGUCCAAGGCCUUGAUGGUGCCUUGUGGCCGUUUGUCGUGGUCGUCCAGUCGUUUCAUGAGGAGGUCCAGCUUGGCAGCGAGUAGUUCCGUUUCCUUGACGAAGCACAUACCUCGCUGAUGGGUUUGGAGUCGUUCCUCGCUCCAACCCAUAUUGGAGACCAUCUUCUCUAUUAAAUCAACGGCUCCUCGAACCACCUUAGAGAAGAACGAUCCUUCAGCUGCCGCGUCCAGGUGGUCACGGGACAUUGGAGUGAGUCCAUUAUAGAAAUUCUGCAGAAUCAGCCAGCCGUCCAUCCCAUGAUGAGGACAGACGGCCACAUACUCCUGAAGUCGUUCCCAUGCUUCAGGAAUGGACUCAACCCUUGUCAGCUGGAAACUAGAAAUCCUUCCACCAAGGGCAUUGGUUUUGCCCAUCGGAAAGAACUUCGAGAGGAAUGCCGUAGAGCAUUUGUCCCAGAUGUUGACAACAGCACGGUUGGCAUAAAACCAUUGCUUCGUUUUCCCGAGAAGGAAGAACAGGAACAGCCGCAGCCUGACGGCGUCUGGACUGACACCCUUUAUACCCUUUAUAGUGUACGUGAUACAGAUCUCUAGGAACUGCUGUAGAUGAGCAUUGGCAUCCUCGUUAGGCUCGCCACAGAAUGGGCAAGCUUGCGCCAUCAUGAUGAGGCUAGACUUCAAGUCGAAAUCAACGUCUCCCAUGUUGAUCUGCGGCCCAAUGGCCACAUUGCCAGUAGAGGGAGCAGCGAAUUCGCGGAGGGUCUUGUCAGCCAUAGUCUUGAAAGUCUGUGGCGCUGGUACGGCUGGAUUUUUUGUCAGUAGAGUUUUCUGCGGAGCAAUGAAUCGCGGCCUGAUGCUCCGGAAGAAAGCUUCUGGAUUUUCUUUGAAGUUUUCCGCCAAGUUGAAACCAGUCAUGCACUACCCUGUUUUCACAACAAAAGUGAAAACAACCAAGGUUAGCCUGCAAAGGGCAGUGAUUAUACAGAGGUAAAUAUAAAGUAUUAGUUCAUGUAAUCUCUAUUAUGAAUCUUCCCCAGCAACGGCGCCAGAAAUACUUGUUGGUAUUUCUAAACGACAGUACUAGAAAUAUAAUUCCCAGCAAUGGCGCAGAAAUACUCCUGGUAUAUUAUGGUUACAGAGUUCAUCCGCAAGCGCACAGAUAUACCAUUGUAGCAUUUCACCCGAGAGUAUUCCAAGGGUAUUGUAUUUAUUUUAUCCCGUGGGAAGAUCAUGUAGAGAGAACUUGACUAAUAAUUUAUAUAUUACUUGUGAUAAUCAUAUUCUAAGCAGGGGUUAAGAUAAUCCUAGGGUAGAGUGACACACAAGCAUUAUCUACCCAUUCUCAUGAUAUAUUAUCUAAGCUAAGUGGAAAGAAAAGAGAAAGAAAAUCUAUUCCUAUACUUCUAGUAUACAUAGUAUACAUACAUUCUAGUUAACCGACAUACUAGCUAAUACCCUCUAUCCGAUGCCCUCCUAGUACUUUGAGAAGCCACCCUUGACUGCCGAGUUCCUUACGACAGCCCGUCAUGACCAUACAACCGGGGCUAAAUACGGAGGAAUACCCUCCCUAGGGAAUGAACUUAGGACUAUAUACAUGCGUGGGGAAUACCCGUACUAAGCUGUCACCAUCAGCGGCCCACCUCUCAUCCGCAGCAUAUAACCCCAAAUAAUGAUAUCCGUAAUCUAGACACCACGUCUAAACUACCAGAUACUACUCUAAUAUCAUCGUCAUGACAUAGAGUAAUUGCAUAAGCAAACAUUAUACCCGCACCAAAGCAUCUCCCAGAUAAGCUAGCAGUAUAUUCAAUAUAACAUGAACAUAAUAUAAAGUAGGUAUUCAUAUACUCGGAAAGUAUUUCAAUACCAUAAAUGUAUAUAGAAGAGUAUUCUAAAUAAAGUACAAAGCUUACAAAAGAGAGGAGAAGAGCUCCUAGAGCCAUACCUGAACUCUUCCGAAGGCUUCCGGACUCCUGAUUUCUACUCUGUUCCUAUUCCACUAGCUUAAGAAUACUAAACUAACUUGAGAGAAUAUGAGAGAGCUCUUGCUUGAGGUGUGUGAGUGAAGUGAGAAGAGGAAGUCCUUUUAUAGGCAGGUAAUGACGGUUGUGAUGGUUGGAAUGGUCGGUAAUACCCUCCAACCGUCAUUGGGGAUCAAUCCCAACCGUCCAGAAGAAGCCCUGCAUCCAACGGCGACGAGGGAGGUUCAGCCGAACCCCCUUGUUCGGCCGAACCAGGGGCCGGCCCAACCAGCCCAAGUUUUGGCUGGCGGCCUCCUCCGUUGCUUCACUUCAUAGACUGGUGAAUUUUGGCCCAAUUCAUCGUGUCAAUUCUGAGUUCUUGGUCCAUUCAUGCAUAAGUCUGAUUCUUGACAUCGUCCGAUUGAUUUAUCAUCUGAGUUGAUGUCGAUUCUCCUCCACUUUAUGGUUAUUCUCUUCAAAAGGUUAGUAAACCUAAUACUAGUGGAAUAUUAUUAUUCUAACUUGUAUAUGCAUUGCAAGCAUAACUAGUUCUCCUUUAUUUUGGUAAUAUUGACGGACGAAAUUGAUCGAUAACGACCGUCAACACACCUACAGCUAGACAACUCAACUACCGAGCGACGGGACAAAACAACGGCUAGGCAAAGACGCACGGCAGAGGCACGCAGCGCAACGGUGCGGCAGUUGGCAGCGACGGUGGCUCAGCGCGGCAGCGGCUAGGCGGCGGCAGCGGCCACGACGACGAUUCGGCCAACUACGACACAGGAACAAAACCCUAAAAACAGGAGGGAGGUUCUCAGCAGGGAGCAAAACCGGCAGGGAACACGACGACGACGGCGGCGCUAGAGAGGACACAACGUGCUAGGUUAGACGUGGAAACAAUUGACAUUGGGUUAACCAAUUCAAUUGAGAGGGGAAAAUAGAUUACCGGCGACGCGAGGGCGACGAUGGCGGAGACGGCGACAGCGGCAGAACAACGCUAGGGCGGUGGCGGCGGCUAGCUUGGGCGGCGGUGGCGCGACAGCUAGGGUAGCUAGGGCAGAAAAGAAAGAAAAACUGGGGGAGGGAACACUUAAAUAGGGGAGGACUAGAUUAGGAAAGGGGGAGUCAUAGAUGGAGUAGGACUAGGACGGAGGGGAGGAGACUGACUCGGGCAAGGGGAGGGGGAGGGCGCGCGCGCCGGAAGGAGAGGGGGAGGGCGCGGCCGGCUGGGGAGAGGGGAAGGAAAAAGGAAAGUAGGGGAUUAGGACUUACCCAAAAAGGAAAAACAAUGCGGUGCUGUUUUAGGAAAGAAAAGGAAACGGUCCCGCGAACUGACACGUAUACGGUUCGUCAUGCAAAACGAAACCGCGGACUGAGAGGCGAGUGAAUUGGGCACAAUUCACGACCAAAGGCAAAGGAAGAAAAAUUAACUUGACACUUUUAACUUAGCAACAUUGCCUCUGGUAAUCUGAUAUUUACUCUUUAAAUCCUGUUAGUGAUUUUCAGAGCAAAGAGAAUUAGAAAAAAAUUCUCCCUGACAAUUCCAAUUAUUAAAAGUACUGUUAACUGGGGUUUUCUCCUGGUUAACCAAAGCAAAUUCUUGAGAUCAUUUAUUAGUGAUUUGGAACCUAAGGGAAGGGAAAACUCCGGGUGUGACAGGGUCGUUCGACAUCAUCGACACCUCGUCACACAAAGCUAUCACACUUCGUGACGACUUAGAUAAUUUGUUCAAGGUAAACGGCCAACAUUUAAAAAUUUUCCUUGAGUGGAAUGAAGUUUUCGAUGAAGAAGUAGACGUUAUUGAACUAAUCGAUUUCGAGCCUCAAUGAACUCAUCUAAAAUUUGCUUAAAUUCUGUAAAAUUGUAUCAUGUCUUGCUUGAAUUAAUUUAGUGUAGACGUGUGAAAAAUUUAGAGGCCGACUGAGCCCACCAGGGUUCGGCCAAACCACGGCGGCGCCCGUUCGCCCCUAGGGAAGAGGGCAAUCGGCGCCGCCGUGGGUCCGGCCGAACCCUAGCCAACCCCGAUCGUUAUCACGUAAGUGAGCUUUUUAAAUCAGCAUUUAAGCUUAGGCUAAAUGUUUUGAGUUAAUAUGUUGUAUAAAAAGCAGUCGGCAUAUCCUAUAAAUCAUAUUAUUUUGGGGAUUUAAGCUGCAUAUGCUUGGUAUUUGGUUUAGUCGUUUUGAUGACUAUAAUCAUUAGAAACCACUCGGUUGGUUAUUUUUUCCUUGACUAUAUAUGUUUAGUUUGUUCAACAAAUCACAUAGUCGGGGGCUACAACUAAUUAGGUGCAUCUAGUCGAUGCACCUUAAUUUUUCUUUUUUAGCCCUUCACAGCUUGAGAUGAUUGAGGUACUCAGGAGUUGUGGCGAAAAUGACUAAAGCACUCGGAUCUUUUUAUUAAACCACUCGGGAGAAGAUUACCUUAUCAUCUGUGAAGGUCUCGGCCUCUCAGGGGCUACUGUGGAGAUUAUGGGUACCAUAUACCCACAGGGCUGCGUUACCCGACUAGUUAUCGGGGGUAACUCAUAGUAAUAGAAUAUGUAAAGAUAGGACUCGGGUAUUACGUUAACUUGUAUAUCAAGGAAGUAUCACGUAAUCUUAGUCGGUUACAAUUGUAAAAUAUAUAUAGAGCUUAAACCGUAAGGGAUAAGGUCCGUAUCUUGUAAUCCCGACUCGUUCAUCUAUAGGAGUAGGGUAUUACUUCUCAUCGAGAAGGCCUGAACCUGUAUAAAUCCAUUGUCUCAUAAUCCAACCACUUUCAUAGCUUGUUCCCUAUCCCUUUUUAGUACUGCCGAAAUCUAGUUUCGACACCAUGUUACAAUAAUUUUAUUUCGUACCACUGCUGGAGAAACCAUCUUUGGUCGGUCGGCCAAAUUCCACAAUAGUCCCGGUUCCAAUGAAAACCGGGAUUAAAAAGCAUCUUUAGUCCUGGUUGAUGUUACCAACCGGGACUAAAGAUCAUUUUUAGUCCCGGUUGAAGAAGUUGUUGGGUCGUGUCAGGCCCCAAUUAUUUUUAGUCCCGGUUGGUAUAAAUAACCGGGACUAAAAAUAGAUCUUUAGUCCCGGUACUAAAAUUCACCCCAAGCUACGCGAUCAUUAUCUCUUCACGCAUAUGUCUGUCCCUCCUCCCUUGGUCUUAUCCCUUAGCCUCUUCUCCUCUACUCGUUCUCCUCAUCACUCGUUCUCCUCUUCCUCCUUCUCCUCCUCCCCUUUCCCUCAACCCUGUCUUCCCGGCGGCGGCCGCCGCGAAGGAAGGUCGUGGAGGCGCGGAGGCCUGGCGGCAGCGGCUGCCCACGCGGAGGGCCCAUGGCGGUAGGCGGCGGAGGCGCGGAGGGCCGCCCAACGGUGGCAUGGGAAAUUCUUUCUUUUUUUCUUCUUUUUUCCUUCUUAAUGUGAUGUGAAUGACUAUGAUUUGUGCGAUAUGUGAUUUGUGAAUGGUAUUGGGAGAUAUGUUAUAUGUGAACUAUGUGUGAUUUGUGUAUCUAUGAUUCGUGCUUUCUGUUAUUUGUGAUUUGUGGUGCGAUUGUGAUUUGUUAUUUGUUAUUAUAAUGAUUUGGAGAUAUUGAACAUGAGAAAAGAAAAAAAGCUUUAGUCCUGGUUGGUGUUACGAACCGGAUUAAAGAUGUUGAAAAACUGAGACUAUAGGGGGGGUUAUGGGACUAAAGAUGUUGAAAAACCGAAACUACAGGGGUUUUCAAUCGGGAGUACAACCCCUCUCUCCACCAGUGUACUUUACCCCUCUUUUGAUCAACGGUUCACAUUGAUCAACCAUUUAAUACAUUUAAGUAUCUCGCUAACUCCCUAAAAGAUCUCGUUUGUGAAUUGGGAGUACUCGGUACGUGCAUGGGGCAAAAUAAUUGAAGUACGGAGUAGAAAGAUUUGGGACAAGCUAUAAAAAGGAAAAUGGAAGAAACUAGGCAAGACUCUUGAGCACGACAAGAAGAAGUAACUUGCAUAUGGCCCAUUCGAGUGGAGCAGGGAAUGAAAAAUGGGCAAGACUGCAAGAGGCGGCAGAGCAGAAGUGCAGAACACCCAAAGAUGACGAUUCAGAUCAGGUUGCUAUUGGGAGCAGAAAUAGCAUCCAAAAUUGAGUCUCUGUAAUUUGAGCUUGUCGACAACACAAAUCAACUUGUAACCUUCAGUGAUAUUUCAACCUUGCAACUGAAAUUGCCUAAAUAAUAUUUUAUUUGAAAGAGAAUGCAGAAAACUAUCAUUUAAAAAUGAAAAUCCUAUCUCCAUUCGUAUUACUCGAGUUCAGAUUAAGAUGCAGCUUGUCAAGACUAUUUAUAUAUUACACCUUUUACCCGUAGUCGACAAAUCAAAUUCAGUUUAAUUAAAAACAAAUCCACCGUGAAUGAAACUAAGAAGAAAAAACCUACGGAGCAAAUUCAGUAUGAGAUUGCAAUUUCGAAUAUACUAAACACCAGAUUCACCGAGUCUUACUGGUGCUAACCUUCAUUCACUGUCACUGGAUCGACUGGAGUGUGAUGGAGAGACGGGAUGUUGUGCUGCUUGUGGCUGUUCUUCUUCAAGAAUGUUCACCACGGCAUGGGCCACCUCGACGCUGCCGCAGCCGACGGCGCUCACCACCCUGCACCGUCCGCCGGUCACAGCCCCGCACCGGCUGACAUCCACCGCCCUGCACAUCUCGACCUCCACGCUGCCGCACCAGUCGACGCGCGCGCCCUUGCACCGUGCCAGGUGCACCUCGCCGAAGCUCUCCACGUCGGCGCGCCUGCACCUGGCUGCUCGCAGCGCGCCGCCGCCCCGGACCCGUGCCUCCCUGCACCGCUCGAGGGACACCCUGCCGGCCUGCUCCAAGUCCGCGGCGCGGCACCGCGUGACCGACACCGCCCGCGCGCCCUCCGCCCGCGCUGCGCCGCACCGGACGAACGACGCGGAGUCGACGCCGUCGGCGACCGCGUCUCCGCACAGGGUGAAGCUGACGCUGCCCCCGCCCCCGCCGCGCACGACGACGCUGCGGACGCCGCUGGCGGAGAGGUUCCCCGCGCUGGUGAUGGUGACCGUGCCGCCGAGACUGGCCUGGAGGCUGCCCUCGUGGAUGGACGUCUCCACGCCGUCGAUCACAACGACGAACAGGUGGUGAGCUGUGACGGUGGAGGAGGAGGACUCCCCGGCCUUGGGAUCGACAAGCGCCAUUUCCACCGAGUGCGACAGGCUCGCAAUUUGCUUUCCUCCGGUAGUUUGGGUUGGUAAGCUCUAGACUAGUCUGGAGGAGGAAAGGUCUUAAUUUGCUUUAAAAGCCAAAGGACAGGGGCAGUUUGCAAGCGAAAUAAAGUGGGUGAAGUGCUGGUGAACUAACAAAUGCAGAUCACUUUCUUUUUUUAAUUGCUGGACUUUCCACAGCAGUCGAAUUUUGGAUGUCGGAUCUACACUGGUCAUCACUCAUAUAAAUAAAAAUAAGGCUUUGUUUAGAUAAAAAUUUUUUUUGGCAAAAACGUCACAUUAAAAGUUUGCAUACAUGUAUGGGGCAUUAAAUAUGAAAAAAAAACUAAUUAUAUAGUUUGCAUGUAAAUUGCGAGACGAAUAUUUUGAGCCUAAUUACGAUAUGAUUUGAUAAUGUGAUGUUACAGUAAAUAUUUGAUAAUGAUGGAUUAAUUAAACUUAAUAAAUUCGUCUCGUAGUUUAUAGGCGGAAUCUGUAAUUUGUUUUGUUAUUACUCUACGUUUAAUACUUCAAAUGUGCGUCCGUAUACUUCAAAAACUUUACACCCAAAGAACUAAACACACCUUAAACUUUAACUAUAGCAAUCCUCACAAAUACAAGAUAGCAUGAGAAGAAAAGAGAAAAGUAGAGAUAAAUAAUAUUGUUUAUUUCAUAUAGGUAGUCUAUAUGCAUAUGGGUACCUUUUAUUAUUUUUUUUAUAUGGACUAGUUGCACAAUAGUACUAUGAUCCCGUUCGAUUCUCCAACAAGCAUGAAGAUUAAGUGCGUACACCAAACGAGACAAGUUAUUAGCACAUGAUUAAUUAAAUUUUAAUUAUUAAAAACUUGAAAAUGGAUUUAUUUGAUUUUUAUAGCAACUUAUAUGUAAAAAGCUUUCAUACGAAACACACCGUUUAGUAGUUUGAAAAGCAUGCUAUUAAAAAGUGAGGAAAAGUUGGUUUUUUUAGAACGGGGCCUAGGUGGCUGAAUGAAAUAUUAUAUUACUUGUGGACUACAUUUGCAUCACAUUAUGGAUGCCAUAAGAAUGAGUUCUUUUGGUCACUUUCCUAACUCAUCUCUCUCAUUUUUUGCGCGCUCGCUUUUCAAACUGCCAAACAGUGUGUUUUUUUUUCAAAUAUUUUGUAUAUGAAAAUUGCUUUAAAGACCAUAUUAAUCUAUUUUUAAAUUUAUUUUAGCUAAUACUUAAUUAAUCAUACGUUAAUGCAUACAUCUUUUGUGUGCCAGAAAGAAGGGGUUGCCAACACCUCCUGCUGAACAUAGCCUAACAAAUUCCUGCCUGUGUCCUCACUUACCAAUGGCGAGUCACGAGCUCACGACAGCUCCAGCUGUUAGAAUAUGUGUCAGAAUAUAUAAUCCUACUAAGAGUUAAAAUUAGAGUUGGAAUAUGUGUAAAACUGAGUUAGAGUCAAACUCUGUCAUAGGCUGUCUUAAAUAGAGAGGAGACAUCACAAUGUAAUCAUGGCAUUGACACUAGGGGUAGAAAAGAAGCUCGGGCUCAUGGGCUCAGUUCGGGCUUGGCUUGGCUCGUAAGCCAAACGAGCCAAGCCCAAGCCUCCUUUUUAGCUCGUUGCUGGAAAUGAGCCGAGCCGAGCCGAGCUAGCUUUCAAGCCGCUUGUUUUGGCUCACGAGCCUAGGCCAUCAUGUGUUUAUAUUGAUUAUUUUACUUUUUAUAGCGUUAUUAUUUGUUAACUUGAAAUUUAUCAUUAAGAUUUUGAAGAAUUGAAUAUAUAAACUUAUUUAAAUUUUACAUGUUGAUAAUUUGUUCUUGCUUUUUUAAAUAAUUACAAAUAUAUAUGAAGAGGUGUUUCAACGGGAAGGCUUGCAAGCCAUCUCGAGCUGGCUCGAGCCAGGAAACAAGCCGAGCCGAGCUCAAGUUUUAGCUUGUUUCCCUAACUAAGCCAAGCCAAGCCAAGCCUAGUUUGUUACGAGCCACUGCAAGCCGAGCCGAGCUGGCCCAUUUCCACCCCUAGUUGACACACGGGAAGAUAAUGGCGGUGUUGGUAUUUCUUACGACCACAGAUAAAUCCGCAAGCGCACGGAAUACCGCUGUAGCACUUCACCUUCGGGUGACCCCAAAAGGAUAUCGAACUUAGGGAACGUGUGAAAUCUACCUAAGGCUAAAACUAUUCAAGGACAACAAUUAAUGGUAGGCUAGUUAGGCUAGAGAGGACAUUCUAUGUGUUUUAAUUGUCUAAGCUAAGCAAAGGUAAUUUCCUAUUUGUUGCUUCAGGCACCGACCCCUGCUGGUCUGCCAGCGUGGUUCUGGCUAUAGCUCUAUGAUGUAUCCGAAUGUGGAGGAUUACUAGGACAGGAUUUAGGGCUGUCACCACCUGCCGUCUACCUCUAACAAAUCCGUGGGAUAUACAACAAACAAAGGUAAUAUCUAACCUAGAUACCAUACCUAAGUUAUCAAUUACUACUCUAAUACUUGCGCAGGAACUUCCUUUUUUAUCCAUAGUUCUAAUACUAAAGCACUUAGUACAAAUACUAAACAAUGAACCUGCAAAGAUGAAAAAUCUAUCUUACUUAUACUAAGUAAUUAAAUAACAUAAGAAUGGAUCCUGAAUGCUUACUUAAUAGAAGAAGUUUCUCCGAACCCAGAGCAGAGUGUAUCACAGCUCCGGUACUCCUCCAGAAUUCCUCCUAGAAAGCUACAUUUGUCGAGGUAGAAGUCGGAGGGAGCGCUAAACUUCCGGGCACUCCUUUAGAGCUUCCCCUCACUUUCUACCUAUUUUCUAAUGUACAAAAAAUACAAUAGAGCCUCUUUUAAUUCAGGUCAAAGUUGUAUGAGUGAAGUGAGAUCAGCUCCUCCUUUUAUAGCCUCCAUAUGACAGUUACAGCUAUGAGAAUUGUCCAAAACGCCCUCAACCGUCAUUGGGAAAGCAUAAGCAGCGUACACGUGGAAGAGCGGGAUGAAAGGAGCCAGCGAUGGUUCGGUCGAACCCUGGGCCCCACCUCUUGGCCUCUUCUUUGGCUAGGAGGCUGACAUGUGGGCCCUGAUGGCGGUUAUGGCAGUUAUGAUCCGUUCCAUGGCGGUUUUACCUGACUUGUGGGCCCUUCAAUCCGUGUACUUGCGCCUGAUUGGCCGGAGGUGUGUUUCCUUGCAUGACGGGUGUGUUUUCUCCUUAAACUACUUGCACACACAUAUUUCACCAACACUAGUGGAAUUGAUUAGUAAUAAUCCCUACCAUUAAGUUGGAUACCAUAUUUUAUUUUAUUAUAUGCAGGUAUUGAUGGUCAAAUAUUAUGAUUUAAGGACCGUCAAUAGGCGGCGAGGCCAUGGACUCGUAGCGGCUAGGUGCUAUAUUGGUUGGAGAGGAGCGCCCAUAAUUAGAGCCCUGGAGAUGUAGGUUUCAGCUAAACUUCGUUAACAAAUAUCAUCCGCAAGCCGCCAUUGCCAACCAAGUCUCGGCAUUCCUCCCCAAUGGUUUGGUGAGCACCCUCAAGGCUUUAGUGUCACAUGCAUGCACUCUAUUCACCUAGACCCGGCCUCUAAAGUGACAUGCAUUGCCACCAGGAAGGUCACUGCCGCUCGCACCGCCGUCGCCACUGAUUUCGAUCACCGUAGCUUGCUAGAAGGACACAUAUUGAUUCACAAUCAAAGGUUCUACAUUUUAUCUUUUGGUUGCUCGUCGAGAUCGGCCUCCGUUCACCGUCACCGUACGCUGGGAAGCUCGCCGGCGUGCUCCUCCCCUACUCGAUCCCUGCUCUCUUCUUCCCUUGUCUCACUGACAAGCAGGCUGCAGGCCCCACAUGAUUUGGCUCUGAGAACCACACUUAGUAAAAAUUUAAAACAUGCAAGGUUUGAAGUGUAAAAUGUGUUAGACUUAUAUGUGGGACCAUGGAUCUAAUUAUAAAUACAUUAAAACUCAAGGACUCUUAAUAAACUUGGCUUUCCACACGUGUUUGGACCAAGGGAUCUAUUCCCUGAAACCUGCGGGACCUUUUUGCUUAUUGGGAAUUUAAAAUCUGAAAAUAUAAAAUAAAAUAAAAAAACAUGUACUUUUUAACAAGAAAACACCUAAACUUGUAAAAUCCAUAUAAAAUAAAAAAACAUCAUUUUGAGAUGAUUCCAGUUGCUAUGGAUUCACAAAAUGAUGAGCUUUAAUGUUACAACUUAAAAAGUGGUAUUUACUGUACAAAAUCUACAUCUAAAACUUAUCUAAGAAAAAGUAAACAUAAAACAUGUAAGAACUUAUAAAAUACAUAGAAAAUUUAAUUUAACCCAUUUUGGGACAAACUCAAAUUCUACAGAUUCACUAACAUACACUCUUUGGUAAGGAGAAAUAAAAAUAUAUACUUACUUUGCACCAAAUGCCUCUAAAAAUAUUAUCUACAAAAUAAUUGGUUUUAGAUAAGCUGAACUUUGGAAAGUCGUAUAAAAUCCAUUUUGACUCCUUUUUUUAAAUGAACUCAAGUUCUGUAGAAUCAAAAAAUUGUGCAUUUCAGAUUUAUAAAAUAGAAAUAUCCGCUUACAGUACAUGAAAAGCCCCUAAACUUAUAUAUAAGGAACAAUCAACAUAAGCACACUUAAACUUGGAAAUUUUGUAAAAAAAAAUCAUUUUAGAUUCAAAUGGAUUGAACUAAAUUUCUAUCUAACCAGCAAGUAGUGAGCUUCAACCCAGUAAAAUGAAAUGUGGCACCUUCUGUACAAAUAUAUCUCUAAAUUUUAAAUUAAUAAACUGAGUGCUAAUCACAUAUUACUAGUUAAGCAAAUUAUAUAGAAUGCACCCUAGCUCCAAAUAAAACAAAUAAAUCCUAGAUGAACCAGAAAAGCUACAACACCAUCCUCUCUUACCAAAAUUUAUGGUACUCAGCACAUACAAUAUUCCUAGGUUGAUAUAUUGAGUUACAAACUUAGAGCACCCCUAAAUUAUAAAAUGCGAAGCAAAAUACUAAAAGCCUCAAUGGUGUAAAAUAAAAAUUAGUUGGUCAACAAAUCAUUCACAUUAUGCAACUAAAACAGGAAGCAAAACAUUCUGGACAUAUUGUCCCAAAACUAUAUGAAUACAAAAAACUAUUCACCUGUAACACGCUAUAACUUGUAAAAUACAUAAGGAAUUCAUAAUAACUCUAAAAAUUAUGAAACCAAAAUGUGCAAGUCCUAGAAAACACAUCUCUACACCUAUGUGAAGUCAAAUCUAAUAAAAAUCACAUAGCAAAAACAUUUUAUAACAUUACCUAAGUAAAUAAUACCCUAUAUCUGUGGGACCCCCGGUUUUAUACACCGGUAAUCCCAUGUGUUAUACAGUACCACUCCCUGGAUCAGUAGGUGGUACACACAUAGCACAGUAUAAUAUCACAACUGACUUCGUUUACCGGUGUUUCUACAGUAAUAAUAUAAGGGUAACCUCAUUGGGUCCCGAAAAAGACCAAGCAUGGUCACUUACAAUACAAAAUACCAAAGUAAUAGAUAAAACAACGGGAAAGCGAAGCAGCGGCGGUCCAUCGAACUCCACAAGCAACGACUGGUGAACCUAUGGUCCCUAAUCCAUCAUCUUCAACACGUACUUGACAGCAGCAUGGCAUAAAUCUAAUCGACGCCAACUCCUUCUAAAAGAUUUAAUUAAGUAAGAGUGAGUACACAGUAAGCCACCACUACAAAAUGAAUCUAAUGCACACAGUGGUUCAAGGAUGGCUUAGUUCAUUUGCAUAAAGCUAGUUUUCACAAUUCAUUUCACAAAUCUAUUGACCUAGCAGUUUUAACUGAAAAACAACACUAUUGUUGAAGUUGUAAUUAUCCAGGGUUCAUCCACCUCUCCAAGCCUCGCUUGGUUCGAUUUACCCUCACAUUUCAUCUUAUACCAACUCUACUAUACUAACCUUCCCACUAUUUGGGCAAGGUUCACAUCUCUCCCAUAUCUACUCUAAGCAGUAUUAAAAUCUACAGGUCUCGGCGCUCAUUAACCGCGAGCACAACUAUUCGAAUAGAUUGGUUUACUCACACUGCAGCGGAUGUACGCUUUUAAUCCCGCACCCCGCGGCUUGCCCAACAUAUGAGCCUAGUCCCAACACAUGAGACUUGCCACGGCCCGACUUUUCAGUUGCUCUCGCAUUUCGGCACCUGCUCCAAGGACUAUGAACCCCCAUUGCACCCCAGCACUCCAAACCCCUACUGCUGGAUGGUGAAGGGAGUCCUGGCGCUCCACGGAAUAGGGGAUAUUUACUAUAUAUAUUUAUAGGGUUCAUUUUAAGUUCAUAUCUAGGCCUUUACCUUUCCGACACUGUACUCAUCACCACACUGAUAUAGAACCUACCCGAUUUAGGUGCCGCUCCACGAGAGCUUCCUAAUCCGCCGGUCUAUACCCACUUGAGAAAUGCGGUCGUACUCUGUUCGUUUCCUGUAUAGCUUCCUGACUCGGUCCUUAACUGACCAGGGUCGGCGACUAACCGUUUCCAGACCCACCCAUAUUCUAUUCAUGCUGCCCCAGUCAAAAUAGUUUUGUUGUAUUAAAUUUUGGUUUUCACAAAAGGUUUGUGUGUGGCGGGUGGCGCUCAUGUCUCCACCCGCAAAUCAUCAAUCACUCACAUCGAGUGAUCUCACAUCCGUAAUCAUCUAGCUUAAAUAUGGAGUAUACGUAUGUCUACAAUAGCAUUGCUAAGCAUUGUCAAUAAUUGACCGUAUAUAAAUAAAUGAAUUGGGUAUUCAAAGGCAUACAUUAAUAUGUACAAGGGUAACAAUAUCAAGGCAGGCUAUAAUCAAAUGUAGGUACGCAAUUUAUAAAUAGCAUGCAAUUUAUUUGUAAAACAACACAUUUGUAAAUGUAGGAUCAAUAUGUUCAAGGAAUGGAGCGUAGGGACUUGCCUUGCUAUAGGUUCCUAAUGUCUUCGAGAUGUCUGUGACAGUUGGACAACUAGAAUACCCGCGAUCGAUAAAUAUCCGACACGUCCAAUAAAUAACCAAAGAAUAUCCACGCACAAUCCUAAAAGAAAUAAAAUAAAACAACAUUCAAUACAACUAAUGGUGCCAUUAAAUAGAUCUCGAUUUUAGAGAGGUUAUGGAAGUUGAACGGAGUCAAUCGGAGUUACGGUUGGAGAGAUAUGAAUUUUCGAAAUUGGAAGGUUUUAUAAACCGAGGAGGGAGCAUUCUCGGGAAGGGAGGUGGUUUAGACUUUCUGAGAGGCUUUGAGUUGUAUAGGGGAUGUGGUAUGUGGGCUUUAGUAUGAGGUGGCUACGGUGGGCUUUGUCUGAUUGUUAAAUGAAGGAUACUAAAGUAAAAGGGGGCCAAUAUAGACUUUCACUAGGGUUUGUGGGUCAAGAGGAGUGAGGGGUCAACCGACUGGGUUCCACUGUGGGUCCUACAUGUAAGUCUCAUUCUCCUUUAUUUCCUCUUCUUAAUCUUUCUCCUCUCUCUUAUAUCUUUCUCAUCUCUUCCUGGUCUGCUCUCUCUCUCGUUCUUCUCCAUGUGCAACAGAGAGAGAGGUGAGGGCGGCGUGUGCACGGCGGGGCCAGCGGCCGACCUCGGUGGCGCGGCAGGGCGCGGCGCGCGGUGGCUUGGCGCGACGGCGGCUGCCAGGCGCAGCAGCGUGGAUGGGGAGGCUGGCGGUUGGUGGAGGUAAGGAUGGUGGUGUUAGUGAUAUGCCCUAGAGGCAAUCAUAGAGAUGAUUGUAUCCUAUACUAUGUUUACAUAUUUAUCCGACAUUGUUCCUUGAAAUAGAUAAACUCAUUAUUGGUUAAUAAAUAUGUGAUUCUUUCAUGAGACUCUUUAUGUUGUUUGUUACUAUUUUUAAAGGAUUCCUGAUCAAAUAUCAAAUGUGGAACAAAUAUGAUUAGAUGAUCAGCACAUGUAUUAAUUGAUGAUCAUGUCUCAUGGAUCAUGGUAUAUAGAUACCAAAUUAACAAUGUGGAGACAUGUUAGUGAACAUGUUGUUUGAUAGACCAAACAUGAGACACUGAGAUUAUCAUGGUUCCCAACAUGUGUAGUAGCUUACUUAGGGACUGCUAAACGCUACUUCGUAAUUGGAUAGUUAUAAAAGUAGUUUUCGAGUAUGCUAUGAAACAUGUAUUGGGAUAUGAAUAAUCAAGAUGGGAUUUGCCCCUCCUAUGGAAAGAUAUCUCUGGGCCCCUCGAUGUUGUAGAUUAUGGAAGCGCAUGGCCAUGCCAAAGGUGAUUAAGGAGUCAAUCACAAGUUAUAUAAUCUAUCGAGAGGUUCGAGUGAAUGAUUGAGCUAUUAGAGGAUGGCACAUAUCUAGCCUUGAGCUUAAUCGAUAUCGUGAGACAAAGGGGUUUAUACAAGUAUACACUAGAGGUUCAGUCGAUAUGAUCUUUAUGUAUGCCCGGUGGGUCAAUACGUUCUGCUAGGGGCCGCUAUUGGCGCGUGGACCGAGAAGGAGUUUCCAAGUUACAGCCGAGUAUACAUGAACCUACAGGGUCGCACGCUUAAUGGGCCGAAAUAAGGGGAUUGGAUGGAGACCCAAUAUGAGCUUAAUUUGGAUUGGGAUCCGAAUAGGAGUCCUACGUGCCUUGGAGGCCCGAGUGAUGGAUCCUAUAUAUAUUCGUGAGGGGUGUGACCGGUGGAGAUAUUUCAUCACGUGAGAAACCCUAGCCGUCACUUCCCUCCCUGAGCAAAACCCUAGCCGCACGCGGGUGCUAGCACAUCUGCGCGUGGCGUUCCGUCCCUGUACGUGUGGAUACUAGUAGAGGCGCCGCUGGUUUGCGGUGCUGAUCGGCGUGGGAGUACGGCGAGGAGAACACACAAGGAGGAGAAGGUCGAGCUAGUGCGAUCGACUACUUCCUCUACAUCGACGCGCGCUACUUCGCGAGAAUUCCUUCGACUUCUUAACGCCUUUUUCCUCUGCGCAGCGCGUCGAGUGGUAACGAUCUAUGAUCUAAUACUUGCAUGGUUCCUGGUUUACGCGAUAGAAAAUUUUGAUUUAUGCUAUCGUAGCCUACGCGUAUCCCAACAGUGGUAUCAGAGCCUCCUUGUAUAGUUUAUGAUCUAGAUCACUGCAUAUAAUUGAUAUGCGGGUGUAGUAGUUGAGAUCUAUUAUGUUGUAUAUGAGUUCUUAGGUGAUCGGAACAUGAGAUGAACCAAUAGCCGCAUGGGUUGAUGAGAUCAAUCGGUAUGUGUGUUGGUGACUUCACUGGAAUGUCUAGUACUCACCAAGGCCGAGCGUGAUUGUGUUCAUCGGGUAGUAAGAUGUCCACUGGAACCGCACGCCAAUGAGAAAAACGAGCCAAUGAGAUUGACUCGGUUUCGGCAUAAUUUGAUUACGCCGUUAAGGUUUUCACAUGGCGAAUCAUAGCGGGACCGCCGUGUGCGUUGCCCCUUAGAUUUUGCUUGGGGUUUUAUAUCUAUCUUACUUUAUUGUUGUUGUAUAUUUGAUAUGACAUGGUAGGAUUGAUUCCCUCAGAAAAAUUAAGUGUAAUUUAUGCUCUUCCAAUAAUUACACCUAUUACGGUUGUGAUCAUAAGUGAUGGGUUUGCCAUAGCAAAGUAUCACUUUUUAUCAUGAUAAAAUAGGAUAGAUGUCUGACAUCUAUAUGCGGAGAUUAUUGGUUUACUUGACAAGGUUAUCGAAACGGUUUUGGACCUUGGGGCAUAGGUUGGGUUGAAGAUGGAGAUGUCACCCCAACAGCAUAAGAGUCACAUAUGAUGUGAUUAGCAAGGUGUUGCUUACCUAUUUUGAUAGUUGUCUAGCUGUGAUGCCAAAGCUCACUAGACACUAAUAAAAUGAUGAUCUUGACUCACUAUGUUACUAGAGGGAAUUUCGUUUCACAAUACAUAAUGGGAGUAUCUUUUGUUAAAUUGUUUAAUGAAAGGUUAAAUGUAGACAUGGUGCUGAUUUUGCAUACAUAUAUUUCUAUUGUAGAUCAUGGCAGCUCCUGCACUAUCCAGUUUUAACUUGCGGUCUAUUCUUGAGAAAGAGGAGUUGACUGGAACAAACUUCAUGGAUUGGUAUUGCAACCUGGGAAUUGUUCUCAGACAAGAGCACAAAGAGUUUGUGCUUACACAGCCUUUUCCAGCUGACUUGCCCAACAAUGCUCCUGUUGCACAACGUAGCGAGCAUGAAAAGCGAUGCAAUGAUUAUCUUGAUAUAAGCUGUCUCAUGCUUGCUACUAUGUCCCCUGAGUUUCAAAGGCAAUAUGAGGCAUUGGAUGCUCAUACGAUAAUCACGGGACUACGUAACAUGUUUGAGGACCAAGCAAGAGCUGAAAGGUUUAAUACUUUAAAGUCCUUGUUUGCGUGUAGGCUUGCAGAAGGUAAUCCAGUGAGCCUACAUGUGAUCAAAAUGAUUGGUUACACCGAGAGUCUGGAUAAGCUUGGUUGUCCUCUUAGCCGAGAGUUGGCUACUGAUUUGAUUCUCCAGUCGCUCCCUCCCAGCUUUGAGCCGUUCAUAAUGAAUUUCAACAUGAACAACUUGAACAGUUCCUUGGCAGAAUUGCAUGGGAUGCUAAAGACUGCCGAGGAAAGCAUCAAGAAAAACUCCAACCAUGUGAUGGUUAUGCAUAAGUGCAAGCCCAACAACAAGAAGAGUGGUCAAAAGAGAAAGCUAAACUCUGAUGAGAUCAUGAGUACUAGCAACUCUAAGACCAAGGUUGAAAAGACAGGGCCCGCUAAGGAUACAGAGUGCUUCUUUUACAAGGAGACAGAUCAUUGGUAGAGAAACUGUAAGAAAUACCUAGAGCAGCUCAAGCAGAAGCAGUAGGAUGGUAAGAGUUCCACCUUAGGUAUUAAUGUUAUAGAAAUUAAUCUUGCUACUUCCUCUACUGAUUCUUGGGUAUUUGAUACCGGGUCAGUUGCUCACAUAUGCAAAUCGUUGCAGGGGCUGAAAAGAAGUAGGAGCUUAGCAAGAAGCGAAGUGGACAUUCGCGUGGGCAAUAGAGCAAGAGUUGCUGCUGUUGCGGUCAACACUAUGCCAUUAUCUUUACCUUCAUGAUUAGUUUUGGAGUUAAAUAAUUAUUAUUGCAUUAUAGUUUUGUGUAAGAACGUUAUCUCUGCUUCUUGUUUGCAAGCAGAGGAUUAUGAUUUUAGAUCUAUGGACAAUGGUUGUUCAGUCUACUAUAAUGACAUUUUCUAUUUCCAUGCACCCAUGAUGAAUGGGUUAUACAUUGUGAAUCUUGAAAGAUGUUCAGUCUAUAACAUUAAUGCAAAAAGUCAACGUCCUAAUGAUUUGAAUCCCACUUUUAUUUGGCAUUGUCGCUUGGGUCAUAUAAAUGAGAAACGCAUGGAGAAGCUUCAUAGAGAUGGACUUCUACACUCUUUUGAUUUUGAAUAAUUUGAGACAUGCUAAUCUUGUUUACUUGGCAAAAUGAUAAAGGCACAUUUCAGGGUCAAAGUGAAAGGGCAAGUGAACUAUUGGGACUAGUACAUACUGAUGUAUGUGGACCAAUGAGCUCAACUGCCAGAGGUGAUUUUGGGUACUUUAUUACCUUUACCGAUGACUUUAGUAGAUAUGGUUAUGUCUACUUAAUGAGGCAUAAGUCUGAGUCCUUUGAAAAGUUCAAGGAAUUUCAGAAUGAGGUACAAAAUCAUUUGGGCAAGACAAUCAAGUAUCUAUGAUCUGAUCGUGGUGAAGAGUACUUGAGCCUUGAAUUUGGCAAUCAUAUAAAGGAGUGUGGAAUUGUUCCGCAACUCACUCCGACAGGAACGCCUCAGUGGAAUGGGGUGUCUGAACGGAGGAAUCGUACAUUAUUGUACAUGGUGCGAUCAAUGAUGAGCCAAACUGAUAUGCCGCUAAGCUUUUGGGGUUACGCUCUAGAGACAGCUGCGUUCACACUAAACAGGGUUCCAUCAAAAUCAGUGGAUAAGACACCAUAUGAGAUAUGGACAGGGAAGCGUCCCAGUUUGUCUUUCCUAAAGAUUUGGGGUUGUGAGGUCUAUGUAAAACGUUUGCAAUCGGACAAACUCACACCUAAAUCAGAUAAAUGCUUCUUUGUGGGGUAUCAUAAGGAAAUGAAAGGAUAUUAUUUUUAUAAUCGGGAAUAGGGCAAAGUGUUUGUCGCCCGACACGGUGUUUUUUUUUUUGAAAAAAGAGUUUAUUUCAAGAAAGGAUAGUGGGAGCAUGGUACGACUUGAAGAAAUUCAGGAAACACCGGAAAACGCUUCAACGUCCACACAACCACAACAAGCUGAGCAAGAUGUUGUUCAAGAACAAGUUGUUGUUGAACCAGUUGUGGAAGCACCAGCUUCACGAAGGUCCGAAAGGAUACGGCGUACACCUGCGAGAUAUGCGUUGUUAACUACAGGACAACGUGAUAUAUUGUUGUUAGACAACGAUGAACCUACUACCUAUGAGGAAGCAAUGGUGGGACCAGACUCUGAGAAAUGGCUUGAAGCCAUGAAAUCCGAAAUAGAAUUCAUGCAUGUCAAUCAAGUUUGGAACUUGGUUGAUCCACCUGAUGGUGUAAAAGCCAUUGAGUGCAAAUGGGUCUUUAAGAAAAAGACAGAUGUAGAUGGAAAUGUUCACAUCCACAAGGCACGAUUGGUGGUGAAAGGUUUCAGACAAAUUCUCGCCAGUUGCCAUGCUAAAAUCUAUUCAGAUUGUUUUAGCGAUUGCUACCUAUUUCAACUAUAAGAUAUGGCAAAUGGAUGUCAAAACAGCUUUCCUCAAUGGAAAUCUUGAUGAGGAUGUGUACAUGACACAACCCAAGGGAUUUGUUGAUCCACAAUCAGCUAAAAGGAUAUGCAAAUUGCAGAAAUCCAUUUAUGGGUUGAAGCAAGCAUCUCGGAGUUGGAAAAUUUGUUUUGAUGAAGUAGUCAAGGUCUUGGGCUUUGUCAAAAACGAAGAAGAGCCUUGUGUAUACAAGAAGAUUAGUGGGAGCACACUGGUGUUUCUAAUCCUAUAUGUAGAUGACAUAUUAUUGAUUGGGAAUGAUAUUCCUAUGCUUGAAUCUGUUAAGACAUCAUUGAAAAAUAGUUUUUCAAUGAAGGACUUAGGGGAAGCAGCAUAUAUUCUGGGCAUAAGGAUCUAUAGAGAUAGAUCAAAGAGGUUAAUUGGAUUAAGCCAGAGUACAUACAUUGACAAGGUGUUGAAGAGGUUUAACAUGCAAGAUUCUAAGAAAGGUUUCUUACCGAUGUCACAUGGCAUUAAUCUUGGCAAGAAUCAGUGUCCUCAAACGACUGAUGAGCGAAACAAGAUGAGUGUGAUUCCAUAUGCCUCGGCAAUCGGAUCCAUCGUAUAUGGUAUGCUAUGUACACGUCCAGAUGUUUCAUAUGCACUUAGUGCAACAAGCCGAUACCAAGGAUAUGUUCCUAGUCCAGGUGAGAGUCACUGGAUAGUUGUAAAGAAUAUUCUGAAGUACUUGAGAAGAACUAAGGAUAUGUUCCUAGUCUAUGGAGGACAGGAAGAGAUCGUUGUAAAUGGUUACACUGACGCGAGCUUCCAAACCGACAAAGAUGAUUUUAGAUUGCAGUUUGGAUUUGUGUUCUGCCUGAAUGGAGGCGCUGUGAGUUGGAAGAGUUCCAAGCAAGAUACAGUGGGCUGAUUCUACAAUAGAAGCCGAAUACAUUGCCGCUUCUGAAGCAGCAAAGGAGGCUGUUUGGAUAAAGAAAUUGUUUCUCAACUAGGUGUGAUGACUUGUGCUUCUAGCCUAUGGACCUCUAUUGCGAUAAUAUUGGUGCCAUUGCGCAAGCCAAGGAGCCUAGAUCGCAUCAAAAGUCCAAACACAUUUUACUGCGGUAUCACCUCAUUCGCGAGAUAGUGGGUAGAGGAGAUGUGAAGAUAUGCAAAAUAAAUACGGAUUUGAAUGUUGCAGAUCCGUUGAGAAAGCCACUCCCUCAGCCUAAGCAUGAGGCACACACUAGGGCAAUGGGUAUAAGAUACAUUCAUGAUUGACUCUAGUGCAAGUGGGAGACUGUUAGUGAUAUGCCCUAGAGGCAAUCAUAGAGAUGAUUGUAUCACAUACUAUGUUUACAUAUUUAUCUGACAUUGUUCCUUGAAAUAUAUAAUUCAUUAUUGGUUAAUGAAUAUGUGAUUCUUUCAUGAGACUCUUUAUGUUGUUUGUUACUAUUUCUAAAGGAUCCCGGAUCAAAUAUCAUAUGUGGAAUAAAUAUGAUUAGAUGAUCAGCACGUGUAUUAAUUGAUGAUCAUGUCUCAUGGAUCAUGGUAUAGAGAUACCAAAUUAAUAAUGUGGACACAUGUUAGUGAACAUGUUGUUGGAUAGACCCAACAUGAGACAUUGCAAGAGCCAUAUGUGUUGUGUCAUCAGUGAUCUCAUUUAGUGUUGGUGUUGAAUCCUUAGACCUGAGAUUAUCAUGGUUCCCAACAUGUGUAUUAGCUUACUUAGGGACUGCUAAACGCUACUCCGUAAUUGGGUUGUUAUAAAAAUAGUUUUCGGGUAUGCUAUGAAACAUGUAUUGGGAUAUGAAUAAUUAAGAUGGGAUUUGCCCCUCCUAUGGAAAGAUAUCUCUGGGCCCCUCGAUGUUGUAGAUUGUGGAAGUGCAUGGCCAUGCCAAAGGUGAUUGAUGAAUCGAUCACAAGUUAUAUAAUCUAUCAACAGGUUCGAGUGAAUGAUUGAGCUAUUAGAGGAUGGCACAUAUCUAGCCUUGAGCUUAAUCGAUAUCGUGAGGCAAAGGGGUUCAUACAAGUAUACAUUAGAGGUUCAGCCGAUAUGAUCUUUAUGUAUGCCCGGUGGGUCAAUACGUUCUGCUAGGGGCCGCUAUUGACGCGUGGACCGAAAAGGAGUUUUCAAGUUACAGCCGAGUAUACAUGAACCUACAGGGUCGCACACUUAAUGGGCCAGAAUAAGGAGAUUGGAUGGAGAUCCAAUAUGAGCUUAAUUCGGAUAGGGAUCCGAAUAGGAGUCCUACGGGCCUUGGAGGCUCGAGUGAUGGAUCCUAUAUAUUCGUGAGGGGUAUGACCGGCGGAGAUAUUGCAUCACGUGAGAAACUCUAGCUGUCACUUCCCUCCCUGAGCAAAACCCUAGCCGCGCGCGUGUCGUAGGCUUUCCGGACCUUCCAUUAUAUUUGAGGGAUGAAGUGAAUAAUUCAAGUCAUCAAACAAACAUAAUGAAACAUCCGACGCCUCGAGAGAAGAAUAUUGGAGACAUUGCUAGGCCUUUAGCCUGCCAGUCAACUUCAGCCUGAGAUGUGCCCGUCAAACCACUCGAAGGCGGCGACCAGAUGUGUUACACAUUGAGGAGGCUUGACAAAAAUGGCUAAAGAUCUACAACAUCUCAAACAUUCUUAACUCAUACUCAUGUGAAUCUAGUUCCCAGGAUGUGCACUAGAUUCACACUUUCAUCUCAAGCAUGAUUAUACAUAGCAAACACAAAUAAGAUGAAAGCGAUUAUAAACUACAUCUACUUUAGUUACAUUGGCUGACCGGCCAAAUAAAUAUAUAGAACAGCAGAAGCUUGUCUACCCAAUCCACAAGCACACCGACUAGGGGUUUACCCCAUUAAGUUCUAGUCCUAGAAGAAACAGUCGAUUACCCACAUCACUCAAAGACUAAGUCUAAAACCUGCAAGCAAAAGAUUAAUUCAAUAGCAAGAGUCAGUACAUUAUUAGAAAUAAUGUACUGGCAAGCACCAACACAAGCCUAACACCCUACUUGCAAGGCAUAUAAUCAAGGAAGGCAUAAUAUGGUUCUUUUUAGCAUAAAGCAAGUUUUAUUUGCAUAAAACGUUUCUAAAUCAAUGCGGAGGGGUUAAAAUGGACUUGGGUGUGAAAUGGGCUGUGUUGGCAGAGAGAAGAAUGGCCCAAGUGUAAUAGGAGCUUUUGUAAUUUGCAGGGAUUUGAAUAUAGAGCGGUAUUUGUAUUUGGAGUUGUAUAUUGACAGUGUAUUUACAAAUUGAGCUGUAUAAUUUGGACUGUACAAUGGACUGUAAUGGGACUUUGUAUUUGGGAUGGGACGAUGUGAUUUGGGCAGUGCUUUGGAAAUGGGAUGGUAUAAAUGGGACUUGUGGUCUGGACUGACAUAUGUGCACGAACUGUAAUUGGUCCGUACAUUGGGUUGUGUAUGUGGCAAACUGUAACUUGGACAAUAACUAUAUUUGGGUUGGUAUAGAUCUUCCGAGGAUGCACGAGGGCGGAAUAAAUGGAUUGCAAUAUGAGACUUGUUUGUUUGGAUGGAUGCACCGUGUUGCCAAAUAGGAGUUUAGGCUUAACGCCUGACAAACGAAUGUUGGAAUUAAUGGAUGGGGCUUAGCCCACUCGAAGAUUAAUUCUUUGGAAAAUCAUAAAAGCCCACCUCAUGGGAUGGCAUGCAUGUGGAGUUUAGUACCACCUUGCUUAUUCUAGGAGAGGGGGACCUCCUUAAAAGGGAGGAUGCCCUCCUAGCCACUUGAAACAUGUGUGGUGGAGAGAAGAGGGGGAACACGCGCGCGCUUGCUCGCCUUGCCGGGCAGGCGGCGCGUGUGCACGACGUACGCGUCGAAUGGUCUGCCAAAAAUUAGUCCUCACCUUGCGCAGAUGCAGUCUCCUUUUACAGUUUUGUUUUGCUGCAAAUUCGGAUUCGUUUUUGUUUUGGAAAUGUUCCGAAAAAUCCAGUGCGUGAAAACGGCGUGGAGUCCGGAUAAGUUACGCGCGACUUAUCCGGUUUGGUUACGCGCAGUGGAGAUCGUGCGGGCGCCCUGAUCAAGCGACCCUUCUCUAUAUAAACCGACUCGCCGUCUUCACGCAACACACGAAAAAUCAAUCUAGGGUUUGCCUCCUACUCUGUGCUGCGCCGUCGCUCGUAGAUUACUCCAUCCCGUUCGCCGGCGUGCACCGGCGAUCGGGAGAGCAGGUCUCCGGAACCUAUGCCUUCGACGUCCUGCACCGGGAGAAGGCGGCAAUAAGGUUUUUGGGAAGCGCUUAGCGCGACUGUUCCCUGUUCGUCCGCGACGGCUCGUCUUCCUCUUCGCUCGCGUGCUGCGCGCCUUCGUAAACAUCUGCAAUUGCGAAAAGUUCCUGCCGAGCAGCCGGUCUUUCUACCACCUCGGUACGUGUUCAAUAUGUUGCGCAUAUUUGAUCUUUUCAUGUUUUACUGCUUAGUUUACAUGUGUAGAUCUAAUGAUGCGUUAAUGCUGGUAUACAUCUGCAAUGCUAUGAUUUAUUUAUGGAAUAUAUUAAAUCAUUAUAUGCCUAUAAUCUCAACAACGAAUUCAUCGGUUGUCGUAGGAUUAUUUUGAGAGUGCUCGUACGAACGAAUGACGGAAACGAAGAAGUGAUUUUAGGGACGACGCGUGGCAUACGAAUCCAAUUGUCGCGGUGGGAAUAGAAUCAAAUAUUGAAUCGACGCACGAUAAAUAAAUACGUCGAUCAUUUGUAGAUAUUCGAGGGAAUGAUCGAGUGGAAUUAAUAGAAUGGUUUAAAAUAACCGUAGGGUAAGAAUUGAGAAAGAUAUGUCGCAUUGUGACAUAAAGAAACAUUUUUGAGUUACAUAUUCAGGUCUGUGGUUUGUUUAGUAUCGAAGCACUUAAUAAAUCAGACCGUGAAAAUAAGGGAAUGAAAUGAUGUUGGAUAGAGGGCGUCCCUUUAGGAGAUAAGAUUUAAUCAAGACCUUUGGCACACAACCUAAACACACAUGAAUGAACAAUAAAUCCUAGCAUGCAAAAAGGUUUAAAAAGAUUAUUCUGAAUUUUUAAUUCCGUAUUUUAGAAUCGAAAUUUUCAGGAUGUUACGAACCUACCCCCUUAACAAUAAUCUCGUCCUCGAGAUUAGUAAGGGUCAGAUAAAGGGAGAGAGAUACUGCAGUUCGGGAGUUCUCCUUGCUUCCAUCGGGCUCCUUAGGGCAUGUACAACGGUUUUUAUUGGUGGUCUCUCUCUAUUGCUAUGCAAGUAAAUUUGAUGAUAUGGAAGAAAGAGAAAGGAGUAUGGUUGUUAUGCAUGACAACGGCUCAGAGUCGACUGUUAGCAUUUAUUAGAGCAAAUUUUAUUGCAUGGUGGUGAAAGAAAGGAAAGAAAAGUAAGAAAAAAUAUUUUGAUACAUUAAUGAUUAGAGACCAUAUUAUCUCUAACUGUUGUAGGAUACUAGUCUCUAGAUAAUGUAGAGCUCAUAUCUGACUCUACUUUUAUACAUGCCCUUAUGAGGUGGGAGAUUUUAGAAACAGAUUUAGGAAGAUACUUGAAGAAACAAAGAAGAUAAGGCACGCUGGUUUCCAAAAUGCAUGGCUCAGUGCACAGCUUGGAAUAUCUUGUCUCCUUUUUAGGUGGACGGCUUGCAUGUCUUUUGACAUCCUUUUGUAGGCACGCGUGCCAGGCCACAGCUAUGGCGUGCGACGGUCGGAUGUCGUAGUGGAACCUUGUGUCCUCUGCGGGGUUUAUAGCCGUUUGACCGAGGCAAUCCGCGGGUGGUGAUAAGCAACGGCUUGUUUCAAAAUACACUGAUUUUCGAAAAUAUCUCUUUUCCCUUGUGCACUUAGGUAAUCAUUUUAUUUUGCGGGCGAGCCGCUUUCGAAAAAAAAGGGCGGAGGAGAGGGGGGGGGACUGCUUUGUGUCUUCUCCGUGCGGUUGCCACGUGUCACGCCCAGAAAUUCACUAGUAAUUUUCGAACUUAUUUGUGCAUAAAAUCCCCGUCCAGUAAUCAGCCGAGGUACAUAACUGACAAUUUAAUAUAGAAAUCCAUCAAAAUAACUAAAGCAAUUAAUACUUACUGAAGAGGCACUUAGUCCUCACAACGAAGAAAACUGCAGCGGAAAAAUAAAAUCUAGCGAAGCUCCGGCUCCACCCCCACAGGCAGCUCAACUGGGGUAUAAGUCAAACAUCUUCUCCUUCUGUAUCAUUUUUCUUCAACUGAGGCUGAUUGAUUAUGACAAGAAUGAGCAUAUGACAUACUCAACAUGCCACACAGCAAAUAUACAAGUGCACAAGGAUACCAAAGCAUGGCAUAAUAUAGGCUCAUUUGCAAUAGCAGCAUUUAGCAAAGAUUUAAGAGUAGUGAAACAGUAGAGUAAUUUAAUCAUUAAUUUUAAUCAACUCUGAACAACACGCCCAUGCUGCUCAGGCCCAACCAUUCUGAACAACCAUACCCGGCUAUACAGAUCAAACUCCAAACCAGGAGCUAAAUAAAUUAUUACUAGUUAUAGCAUCCAUAAUUAUUAUGAGAUUAAUCACGAAAAACAUUGCUCAACUUGCCCAUAACCGCGGGCACGGCUAUUCGAAUAGUUUUACUCUAGCUAGAGAUGUACCACUGUACUCACAAGACACAGCUCCACGACAUGUUACCAUGCGCCUCAAUACCACCACGAUAUCUCGGAUAGGAACUGUGACAGUACCCCUUGCACAACACAAUCCACCACAGCGCACCGUCCCUGGAUCAUAAUCAUCCCCUCAAUAACCAGAGGCAUGGACUCCCCAGCGACCCCCACGGACUUCUCGCCGCUUCACAGUCUGGUGCCCCGCAAUGAACCAUGCUAUACAAAAGGUAAAGCCGUUGCCCACGCUGGCUUGUGGUUGGCACGGUUAAUGUCUCACAACAGUAGCUAGCGAAUCGGCCCUUAAUUGUCAUGAGCACAACCUUCAAAACCAUGUGCUCACAACCCACCAUUAUCAAGUUUUAAUUAUCAAUUAAUUAUCAUAACACGAUUAAUCAUCGUGAGCUAGCAUUAAAUAUAACCACAAAUAAUAAUGUAGUAUGAUUCAUCCCAUUAAUGAACUAAUGUUUCUAGGCAUGGCUAAACAAUUAUAUAUAUAGCAUUUAGCUGAACCAAACCAAUAUAUAAGGUUCAAGCUAGGGAUGGCAAUUGUGCCCGUUUGCCCAUUUACCCGCGGGUAAAAACCCUAUUAGGGUUGGGUUUGUUCUCCAUUUUAUACCCAUGGAUAUCUUAUUGGGUCAAAAGCUAUGCCCGAUGGAUAAUGGGCAUGGGUAUGGGUAAUCACUACACAUGCCCGCUUUGCCCGUUUACCCGCGAAAUCUAACUUACAUGUAGGCUAGGAGCAAAAUCCACUAGAAUACAUAAGCCACGUUCUUUGUUUUCUACGGUUUCCCUUUUAUUUCCCUUAUUAUUUCUCUCCUCUUACUCUAUCGCCGCCAGAGGAGAGACACGACACCGAGGCGGAGAAUAUUUGAUGUUUUAAGUUCGAUUCGAACUUAGUAGCUUGUAGACUUUUUGUUCCACUGCUUUUGUUGUGGCGGGUAAACGGGCACGCCCGCGGGCAUAAGGCGCCCGCGGGCAAUGGGCAUGGGCAACCAUUCUUACCCGUCAUGUAGUAAUGGGUAUACCCACGGGCACAAAUAAUCUCACGGGCAUGGGUAUGGGUAGGCACUACCCGUGCCCGUCGCGCCCGAUUGCCAUCCCGAGUUCAAGCUAAUCAAUUUAUUAUCCAAGGUAUCAAGGAAUAGGGCAUUCAAUGCAAAUUGGCCAUAACAAAAGAAUAGGAUAACACCACCCGGUGACAUUCGAAAAUAAAUGCACAGUUGAAAUAAAUAGAGAAUUUAAAUAUAGGAUCAACAUGCUCAAAGGAAUCGUGUUUGGGAUCUGUGUGACUUGCCUUGCAAUAAUCAGUCUUCAAUUAGUCUUCAGAACCACUUCCAACGCACUCGCGAACCUUCGCAACAACAAAAACGACAAGCUAACACGCAAAAUAGAGAAAAAGACUAAUAAAAACCAAAUAAACAGUACAUAAAAAGUAAACAAACAUGUAGAUCAUGAUUUUAGAUGAAUUUAGAGACUUGAACGGCCUCAUUCCGACUUCAUAUGAAUUAGAUAUGAAUUUUACAAGAUUUAAUUCCAAUUAAACCUAUUAAAGAAAAGACUAUUCCAAAUUAAUUAAACCAUUUACAAAUGAUUUAUAACUGAGAGAAAAGAUUAAACAACCUCCAGAAAAGAUUAGAUUAUAUUUGGUAGAUGACAUAUAUUAAAAAGAAAUAAUAUGCCAUUGAAAAGAGAGAACGGAUAGAAGUCUCACCGAACCAAAGCGAUCGGAGAGGAAGGGAUGAUGACAAUGUUCCGACAGCAACACACGGAGAUGACAACGCUAGACCAAUCACGAAUUAGAUUAUAUUGAAUUAAGACCCUAGGGAUAAACUACACCGGUGAACGACAUAGGAGCGGCGGUUACCGGCGAACCACGACACAACAAUGCAAACGGAGGGCACCGGGAGGUAGAGAAGGCGACGGCGAUUCUUACCAACACUUACGACGUGAUGACAGACAGCGACGGAAGACGGCCGACGACGAGAUCGAGAUGGCGGCGAGGUACUGUCCACUUCGCAGCUGCGAAUCCAAUGGAGGCGGCGGCGAAGCUUGGCGAUGACGGGAGGAGCAGCAGAGCCUCGCCGGAGAUCAAAACACGACGGCGAGCUUCGGGUUGAUGGCGACGAUGGGCUUCCCGGGGUCUUCGGCGCAAGGGAACGGGCUGCCGGGCUUGCUCUUGACCUUGCGGAGCCGAGAGAGGUGGCGGCACAGGAGGGCGACGGCCGAGGCGGCGGCAAACGGCGGCUGGAGCGGCUGCCGGCAGCGAGAGAGAAGACGAACGCGGCGACGGCGCUACAAGCGACGGGGGAGAGAGGGAGAGGUGGUGGCCGAAAGAGGAGAGGGAGGGGACUCUAUUUAUAGCCAUGGGAGAGAGAGAUCGGGCUUGGAACGCAAGGAAUCGCGCCGGGAAAACCUAGGGUUUGGUGGAGAGAUAAACACGAAUCAAGCUCAAUUCCGCGUUGAUUUCUUCGGGAUAAAGUCCGAUUCUUGGGGGGAAAGGAUAGAGGAGGAUAAGAGGAAUAUUUCCCCUCAACUAAUUUUGAAAUAACACGAGAGAGGAGACCGGAUUUGGAGGAGAAAACGGCGCUGCACAAUCUCGGGAUGGCUGGCUCGGGCUGUCUGGAGCUGGAAGAUGAACAAUACCGGCGAAGUAAAGUAGACUUUGGCUGGGCUUCCUUUUUCUCCAGCCCGACUGAAGGAGGGACCUGAAAUGGACUUGAGCCAAGAGAAAGAAGGAGAGUGGGCUACUGCGGCUAAGGAAAGGAGAGCGAAGAGGGAAUGGUCUGAAAAGGGCCCAAGCUGAGGAGGAGGAUUUUUAUUACUUUACCAAUUAAAUUAAUCACUGAAAUGAUCUUUGAAUUGUUAAAAAUAUUUCCUAUGCUCAAAUAAUUCCAAGAAAAAUCUUGAACAUACUUGGACACUCAAAGUAUUUAAAAAUAUUAAAACCAGACCAUUUAAUGAUUAAUUUAAUAUGUGGAUAAUUACUGAAAUGUUGUUUGUAUGAUUAAAAUUAAGAGUUGAGCUCCGAAAAAUCCGAGAAAAUUCCAGAGAGUAUAAUUAACCAUGGAGAAUUUAAUAAAAAUUAAAUCCAUCCAUGAUUUAUAUUUAGGAAAUUUUAUUUCCCACAUUUAACUUCACUUGUAUAUUAAUGAACAUUUAAUAUAAAUUCUAAUAAUAAUUUAUUAGAUAAUUUAUAAAUCCUAAAACGAAAAUCAGGAUGUGACACCACGAGCGGUGGGUAAGUGGAGGGUGGUGUAGCUCGAAGGGAGGGGAUGGAGCGGUGAAUCGGCGGAGGAGGCGACGAAGAUGGCGGCGAGCGAGGCACAGCCGGCCGUGGUGCUGGCAACGGCGUGAGGCAUGGUGCUGCGGCGCAAGGUGCCUCGGCCGAGGAUGGCCUUUGCCGAUGGUCGGCGUUGGCGGCUGCCGGGCUCUUGGUACAGCGGCCAGCUAUCCAGCCGGCGCAUGUGGCGGACGAUGCCAUCGUCGAGGGUGGCGUCCGGGUGGCGGUGGAGCCGGAGCAAGGGAACCGCAUUGGCAACUUUUUGGCGAGGAUAGUCGCCGCUUGGCGAUGGGUGUGGGUCAAGGUGUGGUCCUUUGGAAUAGUCAUUUGUACUGUGUUGACUUGGGUAGUGUAUCAUAUGGUUUUUCUAUGGGGUUUAUUGCUUGAGCUUACAGACGAUGGCCAUGAUGAUCAUCUCUGGGUGGCGAUCCUUCUCCUCAUUCUGUUGGCACCCGUGGUCUUUCUUAAUUAUAUGGAUACUCUGUAAGCUAGAUAGUCGGUGUCUUGCUUGUCAGAUCAAGGCAUGUAUCCUUAGUUGUAUGGAUCCUGUGGGUUUAUUUUUGAGACUUUUGCUUCUAUGUCAGAGGCAUGAUAAAUCCAAAACUUGGGCGUGUGUCGGCAUAACCUUCUUACUACGAGGGGUUAUCGAUUAAUUCCAAAAUAAUUUCUACCGGCGCAAAAGGGCUUUCCAAAGGGAGACAAUUUGGUUUAGGUGUGAAUAAAAAUACUCAGCUCCAAAAACAUAGAGAUAUGGCGGACUAACUAGCUUCAUUCCAUAUUACAUCGGGCACUGAAAGAUACAUUCCAAAAGGGGAGAACGGGACUACCAACUAACAAUGCAACGCCCAACAGGGGCUCACACUCCUAAUCCUACUUAGAGAGAUGGUGGAGGUGAAAGUGGAUUGAUCGGUAAUGGAGGCUUCCUGCGAGUCCUUCUAAGUUGGGGGCCUAGAUCAUGUUGGUCGUCGCGCGUGCCUGCACGAGCAGAGCGGAGGUGUUCUUGUGGGGCAGCUGCUGGUAACGGGCUUCUAAGUUGGUGUACCGAUCACGAAGUUCGUCCAGCUCCUCAAGUGCCUGCUCGUAGGCGUUCUUGGCAGAGCAGGCCAUCUUAGAGAGGAGCGUGCACCGACAUCCUUUGGGCAAUCCGGCCAUACGGAGGUGGUACCGAUUGUCUUCAUCAGUGCGGUAUGGGUGCAAGCCAUAGUCAUGGUCUAUGCCCAACGGGGCAGAGAGCUUGCAAAGCCGGUACAGAGCUUUGCGGAAUACGUCUUGGAAGGCAGCCUCCAUGGUGAUCCGGGGAUGGCGGGUUUCGAAAGAGAUCAUCUCGUGCUCUUUCUCUCUAGGGAAGGAAAGGAGGAGUUUCGCCUUCCAGCACUUCUGGGAUCCCUGAAAAUCUGCUCGACACGAUGCAUCAGCUCGGCAAAGCCAACGAGCUGUCGGAGUAGCUGUUCCAGCUACCGGGCAUACCCUUCAGGGAGCUUUUGAGAGAUUUCCCAAGGGGGUUCAACCCAUGUUACCGCGGGGUCAGGGAUGGCUGGUGCGCUUGCUUGAGAGCGCUCGGGGUUCCUUUUUAUAGGCACCAGACACUGGGGCUUUAGUACGUGCGCGUCUCAGGGUAUGGUCGGUCUCAAUUAUUGGUGGUGGAUAGUGCGUGGCUGUAGAUCCUAUCGGUCAGAGUUCCUAUAGGGCCUGUCUGUCAGGGUUCCUGUCAUGCUCCUAAGUGUGUUGUUAGCACACAGUGGUUUCCGGAUUUUCUGGAGUCCUCGCACGGUCGGGUACGAUUUGGGGUAAGGGUGUAAGUGGGUCAGCCGCGAACCCACUUAUAGGUCAAAAUAAGCGGGUCCGCGGCUUAUUUUAGCUUAUAAGUAGGUUUCGCGGGUUAGCCACUUACACCCCUAAUUUGGGGGUCCUCGUUCCUUAUGAUCGAAGCUUCUUAUUGCAGCUGGUUCAGAGUGUCUACGUGUCGGUGAUUAUUCUUCUUGAUCGACACCAGAUUAAAGAGGGGUAUGAAUGAAACUUUGGAAGGAGGGGGACAUCGUCUAUGGGUUUCAGCCCGAAGCUUGGUGGAGGAGGCAGUACAGACUUAUAGGGAGGAGUAGGGGGGAGGCAGCAUAGAGUUAUCUAGAAAGAUAGAGGGAGGUAGUACAGACUUAUCUGGGGAAUGCACAAUAUUUGUUGGGCUUGGCCUGAACGAGGGAAGGGAGCUAGUGCAGACUUAUGGGAAUUGGUCCUUCGGGUUGGGCUGAGAAAAUAGAGGAAGUAACUACAGACUUCCUUGUAUUGGAGAGGGUUCUUGGGCCUUUGUGUAAGGAAGUAAAGGGAAGUAGAGGGACGAUGAUAAUGGGCUCGGUCCAAAGGUGAAGGAUCCUAAACGGACUUCUACAGAGGAUCAAAAUAUUGGGUCUAGUGAGAAAAUAGAGGGACCCCAUAUGGACUUUUACUGAGAAACUAAUUUCUCUAGCCUAGAAAUAAAACGAGGUCACAUAUUCUUCUCGAGGUGCAGCUGCGGACGGUGAUCUCGGAUGCAGGCUAGCACAUGUCCUCUAGCGUAGCGGCUCGCUCGACGACACUCCUGCUUCAGGACAUCGUCGAUGCGCUGGCAAUCCCUUCGAGCUGUGCGCAGGCCCCAUUCAACCACGAGAUAUAACCAGCCGCCGACUCCUCGGGAUCUCCGCGGGGAACUCGGAGCUCCUUGCAAACCCUCGCCAUCGCCAUGCAGCAGCUCUUGAGGUACGAGUUGAACCACACCUCGCGACCCCGGAGAGCUUCCACGGCCUGGUCCUUCUUCACCUCCACCAUGGUUUUUUCGAGUUUGGCCACCUCGAGUUUCGUCUUCCAAUAUCGCAUUCGACGAUCUUAGUCAGCCAACAUGUUCUCAAAAUCUACCCGACACGGAAAAGACUAAGUCAAGCUAUUCUUCUCUUCCGAGAACAUAGCUAAUUAAGUCAAACGGAACACAAGGAGUGAAGGAGAGCAAGAUACAAACCUAGUGACGUCAUCGCCACGCUCGCCUCCGCAGACAGGCUUUGACUAGUUUCCUCCCGCAGCACGAACGGCUCGAGUGUGAGCGCCGGAACGAUCACCGGCAUAUCGGGCUGCCCGCGCUGCUGGACGUCCUCGACAUCAACAUAUCUACAACAACAACAAAGUACUCAGAAUCACAUGCUAAGGAAACUAGGGAGACAGCUAUUCAGAUAAGAGCAAUUCAGAUCCACAGAAAAGUUUUACAGCAUGAAGGCUAAGGGGUGCAAGGGAAAACAAAUAUCCUACUGUUCAAAAAGGGGGAGGACGGACUCCCCCAAGUCACCGACUUCUUCCAUCAUAGCCUUGCGCGCGUCAUCGGUGGCCCCCUGAUCCAAAGCCUUCUUAAGGUCCAGAUCGGGAUAUGCCAGCCUCAUGCACGCAAGGACAUGGCACUCCCCGGUGUAGAUGCCAUUGGACGUCUCCUCGCCGAUCCUGGCCGCGUGCUUGGAGGGGAUCUCCUCCAUCGCCGUAGCCAAUUCCGCAAGCGACGACGUCAGCGAGAACUCAUCGGGGUGCGCCGGGAUGGUAGUCGUGACACCACACUCCCCGGCGAGUUGGUGCAGGCUGGUGAACGAUGUUCACAGCGAACCACAGAUGUUGAUCAUGUGACCCUCGAGCUCCGACAUCCGGUGCUUGAGUCCGCGCCGUUGCAUCUCGUUGCCGGCCACCAGCUCCCUCAUCUUUAGGAGGUCCUCGCGGGCCUCCGCUAGGUCGCGCGCCAGCUGGUCGGCACACUGGUUUGCCGACAACGCUGCCGCCCUGGCCUCUUCGAUCUCGCGACCUACGCCAUGAGCACCGGCCUGGAGAAUGCGCUCCAUCUCCGCUUGGACCUCCCCCCAGGUGAGGGCAUCGGUGGACGGGCCCCGGGUAGGCACGGGGCUAACGGCAGGGCCACUCGGUGCUGCCUCCUGGUCCUUAGCAGUGACUAAGACUCCCGACGAGGUCGCUGCAGGGGACGCGCUGGAUGCGGCAUCAGCCCCACCUUGCGCCACCUUUUCCCACGCCACCCUGCAAAGAUUUUCCUCUUCCCCAUGAGGCGAGGUGAUCAGAACUUUGAAAAUGAAAAGACAUCAAGAACGUUUACUUACUUCUCGCCGAUCGUCACCAACCUUUGCCUUCGCUGAGGCGGAGGAGACGUGUUCGAGUCCUGAGUAGGAUGAAAUGGUGUGAGGAGAAGUUCUUCCGACUACGCGCUAAAAAACGAGAGAGAAGCUUACCGCGGAGGUCGGCGCUUUCCGACGGGUCCCGAGUACGGAGGAGAAUUUCCUUUCCCUCUUUGGGAUGUUGCUACCACUCGUGGUGGCAGCAACAACGUUAGAUGGCUCCUUGGCAACGCUCUCUUUCAACGACGCUGCCGCCUGGUGGUCCAUGAGCGGCCCGAUGACGUCCGUCAGAGGGAGGGCCUGCAUAACGUGAAGUCACGGCGCAAUCUAGACAAGGAAGAUAUAAAGGUAUUAUCGACUACACUUACAUUAAUCACGGCGGCGCGCUCAGUCACAUCCUUAUCACAGAGUGCGAUGGGGAUAUCGCCCGCCUUCGUGGGCACGCUGAUCAUUAUCUGACCAACGCGGCGUCCCACGGUGUCACUGUCCAGACCUGUAAAUCGAGAAUACGAACUCGAUACGUCAGGAGAAACAGAUGCGCUCAGAACAAAAAUAGAAAUGCGAGAAAAAAUACCCCGAGGAGAGACCCUGGUCGUGUCCUCUGGCCCAGAGUAAUCAAAGGCCGGAUGGGCGUGGCUUUUUUUUCUCUUCACUCGAACCAAUCCACCCAGCCGACUUCUUGUGUUUUUUGUGAGUUGUGUAUCCACUCCAAUAAUACUAUUGUCAAGUACCUUUAGGGAUGAGGAUCUCGGCAAGAUAUGCAGUUCUUGGAGAAUGAAAAAAAACCGAUCUACUUCUUUUUGGUAUUUUAGACUAAAUUCUUUUGUUCCUCGAUGCUUAAUCAAAACCCCCUUUUUUAAGACGGAAUCUUCCUCCGGGUUCCCAUAUUCGUUCUCUGAGUCUUCCUCUAAAGUCCCAUGUUCGUCCUUUGAGUCUUCCUCUAAAGUGCCAUAUUUAUCCUCUCGGUGCCUAUAUUUGUUCUCUGGACUCCCAUAUUCGUCCUCGGAUUCCUCCUCUCGAGUCCUAUAUUCGUCCUCUAGGAUUCCAUAUUCAUCUUCUAGGGUUUCAUAUUCGUUCUCUGGGAUCCCAUAUUCAUCUUCUAGGGUUUACUCCUCCUCUCGAGUCCUAUAUUCGUCUUCUAGGGUUUUACAUUCUUCCUCUCUGGUCCUAUAUUCGUUUUCUGGGCUCCCGUAUUCGUUCUCUGAGUCUUUCUCUCGAGUCUAUAUUCGUCCUCUAGGGUCCUAUAUCUAAAUUUAACAAUUCCUGAACCAUUUUUAUCUUUUUUGUAUCGUGGGUCGUCAAAAUAAGCAACUAUAGUAUUUCUACGUAAAACACCCAUAAAGGGUAUUUCAAUCGAAAUCCCAAAACAGGAUAUUGGUUCUUUCUCUUGUUCUUGAUGAUACUAUAAUGGAAUGGCGAACCUAUUUCUUCGCUUUUUUGCUAACAAAUCCAAAUUAUUUUGAAGAAUAGAAGGAUAGACAAAAUUCCAAUGACCAUUGGACAUGAUUCGAUCCGGCAUUGAAUAAUCAAGAAUUUCCCUAUCUUUUUUACCAAAAGUAUCCAACAGUCUAUGUCUUACCUCAUCAUCAGCCAUCGAGAGGCCAAAGAUAUACCUUCCGUCAACAGAAAAGGAAUAAGUAUUCAUUUGAUCUUGAUCCUUGUGGAGUGAAAAAGAAGCUAUUACUAAACAACGACAAAAUUUUUUAUUUGAGCUAUAUCCUGCCAUAAGAAGACCAAUAGGAGCAAUACUUGAAAUGGCAAUCCAUAAAAAAACACCAAUACUAAGAUCCGCUAAAACAAAGCGAUAUCCCAAAGGAAUAACUAAAAAACUUAAUAAAAUUGAUAUGACUGCUAUAGACGGUCCAAUGCUAAAUAAGGGAAUAUCCCCUCGGGAUGGCAAGAUAUCCUCUUUAAAAAGUAGCUUAGUUCCAUCUGCUAUAGCUUGAAGCAGUCCCAGGGGGCCAGCAUAUUCAGGACCAAUACAUUGUUGUAUCGAUGCGGAUAUUUCUCUUUCUAACCACACAAUUACGAGUACUUCUAUUGUGAUUCCCAGUAAGAGGGUCAAAAUGGGUAGAAUCCAUAUCAGUCCAUAGACUUCUUUUAAUAAUUCCAAGUUCGAAAAAGAAUUGAUAGCUUCUACCUGUACCCUGUCUAUUAUCAUUUCAACGAUCAACUUCUCCCAUAAAAGGAACGUCCGCUCUCACAAUUCCCUCUUCAUCUACCAAAACAACCGGAAAUGUUUCAAAAAAAAGUAGGCAUACGGCGUACAAAAAGUUCGCGCCCUUCUUUAUCUCUAAAGAUAGGAUGUCCUAACCAUCCAACAGCUAUUCCAUCCCCAUUGUCCAUUGAGCCUGCUCUGAAUAAUCCCCCCUUUG